GCUGGUAGUAUGGCUUCCGAGCCAUACACGAGGAAAUAGGGUGAUAGCCCAGUAGUCUUGCAUGGUUGGGUACGUAGGCCCCACAGAGCAUUGGGUUGCUCUUUGAGCCAUUUGCUGCCUUUGGUGUUGCCAACGUCAUGUAGUCUUUUCUUCAGGGUGUCGAGUAUCAUGCCAUUAGCACGCUCGACUUGUCCAUUGGCUCGCGGGUGAGCGACCGAGACGUAGCGGACGUCGAUGCUGCUAUUCUCGCAAUAUUCCCAAAAGUCGUGAUUGUUGAAGUUUGACCCUAGGUCUAUGAUCAUCCUGUUGGGAAAGCCGCAGCGGUGUACGAUUUCAUCGAAGAAGUUGAGGACCCGGUCUGCCUUGGGGCAAGUGACUAGUUUGACCUCGAUCCACUUGGUGAAUUUGUUGAUUGCCACGAGUACUCGGUUGUAUCCUCUUGGCGCAAUUGGUACGGCCCUAUCAUGUUGAGCCCCCACCAGGCAAACGGCUGAGGAGGACAUCAACACCAACGAUACAUCAACACCAACACAAGUACCAGUUUCUGGUCCUAUAACUCGUGCCCGUGCUCGUCAACUUAAUCAUCAAGUAAGUUCACUCUUGAGUUCCUGUCCAUCCUAUUUAGACCAUGGAGAUGCGUGCACUCUUGUUUUAGUUAGGAACCAUGGAGAAGACCGAAAGGGAAACGGACUCGCGCAGGCUGGAUUCGGACUCCAGGAUAGUACCAACUUGUGAUGGUCACCACGGUCGCAUACGAACACGGAUUGGGGUGUUCAAGUACUUCACGGAUUUGUUAUGAAGUCUAUUUUCAUAUGGAUCUGGACUCAAGUAUAUAUCUGGUUUGAGGCGGUCGCAAUGACCAAUUUACUACUGAUAGGUUUUCUGGUGCUGCGUCACCUUAUUUUGGGAUUGUGGAGAACUAAGCUACUAAUUUUUUUGGCCUUUUCUGGACUAUAGGAAAUUAAAAAUAGCAAAGAACUAGAAGUCUCUCACCAAUAAACCUUGCUCUGAUUACCAACUGAUAUGAAUUCGCUAGGGUUGAUUCCCGAUUUUUCAAUGAGAGGCGUGGGAUAACUCGAUUGGUCAAUGGAGACGACGUUCACGACCCGACUACAGCCUUCCAAGCUACGCCUUAGCAACCGAUACACCACCUCCAAUGGCUGCCGUGAUCUUGUGGAGCACGUCACCCGGCCACUAGGGCACUCGUCCUGCAAGCAAUCAAAGAACAAGCAAGAACAAGUAUAACAAAUACUAAAUUUACUAGAUGAAGAUGAAGGUUUCCAACUCAAUCUCAAUAAGGUGGGAUUCUGAAGAUAGGAAGAUGGGCAGCUGAUCCAGCACGCGCGCAUACAAGCAAGUAGCGAGAGCUAAACUUGAUCUAAACAAAACCCAAUCUGUUUGUGGUGGCUCUAAUCCUUAUUAAUGCCUAGGAGGACAACCAGGAGGGUGUUGGGGUCGUGCUCCAACCCUAGGACAUGUCCCUAAUGGACCCAACUUCAUACACGGCCCAUUGGGCCAAAAUAAGGUGACGCAGCACCACAAAACCUAUCAGUAGUAAAUUGGUCAUUGCGACCCCCUCAGGCCAGAUAUAGACUUGAGUCUAGAUCCAUAUGAAAAUAGACUUUAUAAAAAAUCCGUGAAGUACUUGAACGUCCCAAUCCGUGUCCGUAUGUGACCGUGGUGACCAUCACAAGUUGGUACUGUCCUGGAGUCCGAAUCCAGCGUGCGAGAGUUUGUUUCCCUUUCGGUCUUCUCCAUGGUUCCUAACUAAAACAAGAGUGCACGCAUCUCCAUGGUCUAAAUAGGAUGGACAAGAACUCAAGAGUGAACUUACUUGAUGAUAAGUUGACGAGCACGGGCGCGAGUUAUAAGACCAGAAAUUGGUACUUGUGUAGGUGUGGAUGUAUCGUUGGUGUUGAUGUCCUCAUCAUCUCGUCCUGCAAGCAAUCGAAAAACUAGCAAGAACAAGUAUAACAAGUACUGAAUUUACUAGAUAAAGAUGAAGGUUUCUAACUAAAUCCCAAUAAGGUGGGGUUCCGAAGAUAGGAAGACGGGCGGCUGAUCCAGCACGCGCGCUUACAAGCAAGUAGCGAGAGCUAAACUUGAUCUAAACAAAACCCAAUCUAUUUGUGGUAGCUCUAAUCCUUAUUAAUGCCUAGGAGGAUGACCAGGAGGGUGUUGGGGUCGUGCUCCAACCCUAGAACAUGUCCCUAAUGGACCCAACUUCAUACACGGCCCAUUGGGCCAAAAUAAGGUGAUGCAGCACUAGAAAACCUAUCGGUAGUAAAUUAGUCAUUGCGACCGCCUCAGACCAGAUAUAGACUUCAGUCCACAAAUCCGUGAAGUACUUGAAUGCCCCAAUCCGUGUCCGUAUGCGACCGUGGUGACCAUCACAAUUUGGUACUGUCCUAGAGUCCGAAUCCAGCCUGCGCGAGUCCAUUUCUCUUUCGGUCUUCUCCAUGGUUCCUAACUAAAACAAGAGUGCACGCAUCUCCAUGAUCUAAAUAGGAUGGAUAGAAACUCAAGAGUGAACUUACUUGAUGAUUAAGUUGACGAGCACGGGCGCGAGUUAUAGGACCAGAAACUGGUACUUGUGUUGGAGAAAGUUAAUGAUAAUGCAUAUAAGCUCGAUCUGCCUGCCAAUUUUGGGGUUAGUCCCACAUUUAACAUUGCAGAUUUGAAGCCCUAUUUGGGAGAAGAAGACGAGCUUGAGUCGAGGAUGACUCAAAUGCAAGAAGGGGAGGAUGAUGAGGAUAUCAACACCAACGAUACAUCCACACCUACACAAGUACCAGUUUCUGGUCCUAUGACUCGCGCCCGUGUUUGUCAACUUAAUCAUAAAGUAAGUUCACUCUUGAGUUCCUGUCCAUCCUAUUUAGACUAUGGAGAUGUGUGCACUCUUGUUUUAGUUAGGAACCAUGGAGAAGACCGAAAGGGAAACGGACUCGCGCAGGCUAGAUUCGGACUCCAGGACAGUACCAACUUGUGAUGGUCACCACGGUCGCAUACGGACACGGAUUGGGGCAUUCAAGUACUUCACGGAUUUGUUAUAAAGUCUAUUUUCAUAUGGAUCUAGACUCGAGUCUUUAUCUGGUCUGAGGCAGUCGCAAUGACCAAUUUACUACCGAUAGGUUUUGUGGUACUGCGUCACCUUAUUUUGGCCCAAUGGGUCGUAUAUGAAGUUGGGUCCAUUAGGGACAUGUCCUAGGGUUGGAGCACGACCCCAACACCCUCCUGAUCAUCCUCCUAGGCAUUAAUAAGGAUUAGAGCUGCCACAAACAGAUUGGGUUUUGUUUAGAUCAAGUUUAGCUCUCGCUACUUGCUUGUAAGCGCGCGUGCUGGAUCAGCCGCCUGUCUUCCUGUCUUCGGAAUUCCACCUUAUUGAGAUUGAGUUGGAAACCUUCAUCUUCAUCUAGUAAAUUCAGUACUUGUUAUACUUGUUCUUGCUAGUUCUUCGAUUGCUUGCAGGACAAGUGCCCUAGUGGCCGGGUGACGCGCUCCACAAGAUCGCAGCAGCCAUUGGAGGUGGUGUAUCGGUUGCUAAGGCGCAGCUUGGAAGGCUGUAGUUGGGCCGUGAACGUCGUCUCCAUCGACCAAUCGAGUUUUCCCAUGCCUCUCAUCGAAAGAUCGGGAAUCAACCCUAGCGGGUUCAUAUCAACGGCCAUGUUGGAGGUAUUGUGACUAGCUUGUAGGCCGGUACAUAUUGCUGUUUGGUGAAGAAUUGGCAACCUUUGCACUUCUGGACUAGUUGUUUAGCGUCGGCUAAAGCCAUUAGCUAGUAGAAGCGUGCUCUGAAAGCUUUGCCAACUAUUGUCCGCGAAGAGGCAUGGUUGCCACAGAUUCCUUUGUGAAUUUCCUCUAAGAUUUCUUAGCCGUCUUCCUGGGUAACGCACUCCAUGAGUACUCCGGAUGAUGCACCUUUCCUAUAAAGCUUGUCUCCGACUAGGACGUAAUUUUUUACUCGCCGGGAGAUUUGUUCAGCCUUAUUUUUGUUGGAUGGUAACUGGUGAUCUUUAAUGUAGUUGAUGAAGGGUGUCCUCCAAUCCACUUCUAUCAUCAUGAUCUCACAAGAGACGUCAGCAGUCUGGACUGCUGGUGAUGUGACUUGGUUAGAUAUGGACGGCUUGCGCAGCUCGUGUACAAAAAUUCCUGCUGGAACCUCUGCACGGGUUGAGUCCAUUUUGGAUAAGACAUCAGCGGCAACGUUGUUGUCGCGGACGAUGUGAUGAAAUUCCAAGCCUAAGAACUUGUUUUCCAGCUUACGGACUUUUUUGCAGUAAGCGUUCAUGUUGUCCUUAUUCCAGUCCCACUCGUCAUUAACCUAGUUUCUAACGACUAGAGAGUCGCCGUACACCAACAAUCUUUUGAUGCCGAGGGAGAUUGCAAGGCGAAGGCCGUGUAAUAGUGCUUCGUACUCGGCUUCAUUGUUAGAUGCUUCCUAGAAGAUUUGCAGUACGUAUUUGAGCUGGUCUCCCUUGGGGGAGAUGAGUAAUACGCCUGCACCGGCCCCUUUGAGUUUGAGGGACCCAUUGAAGUACAUUACCCAGUGUUCUGGCCGUUCAACUUGUGUUGGUACUUGAUUUUCAGUCCAUUCAGCAAUGAAGUCGACCAAAGCUUGGGAUUUGAUAGCUGUCCUUGGCUUGAAGUCCAAGGAGAGAGCUCCAAGUUCAACUGCCCAUUUGGAGAUUCUACCCGUGGCAUCUCUGUUGUGAAGAAUUUUGCCGAGCGGGAAGUCGGAGAUGAUUGUGAUGUUGUGCUCUUGGAAAUAAUGGCGCAGUUUCUGGGAGGUGAGCAGAAUUUCAUAUAAGAGCUUUUGUAUCGGUGAAUACCGAGUUUUGGAGUCCGAGAGUACUUCGCUAACGAAGUAGAAAGGUCAUUGGACCUUGUAAGCGUGGCCCGGUUCAGACCGUUCGACUACUAUUGUCGUGCUGAGGACAUGAGUAGUAGCUGAUAUGUAUAGGAGCAAGUCUUCAUUUGGAGAAGGAGCGGUGAGUACAGGAGGCUUUGACAGAAAGUCUUUGAGUUGUGUUAGUGCCUUGUCUGCCUCUUCCGUCCAUUUGAACUUGUCCUGGCGUUUGAGAAGCUUAAAGAAGGGUAGUCCCCGUUCUCCAAGUCUCAAGAUGAACCGAUUGAUAGCAGCCAUGCAGCCUGUGAGUUUCUGCACAUCCUUGAUGCUAGCUGGUGCUUGCAUGUUUGUGAUGGCAGAUAUUUUUUCUGACUUGGCCUCAAUGCUGCGAUGGCUAAUGAUGAACCCGAGUAGUUUGCCGGAAGGUACUCCAAAGACGCACUUAGUACGAUUGAGUUUCCAUCGGAAAGUGCGUAGACUGGAGAAAGUCUCCUCCAAAUCCACAAUGAGUUCCUACUGGUUUCUUGUUUUGAUGACUACGUCAUCAACAUAAGCUUCGACAUUGCGAUGAAGUUGCUUCUCGAAGCACAUCUGGAUAGCUUGUUGAUAGGUUGCCCCUACAUUUUUUAGUCCGAAGGACAUUGUUUUGUAGCAGAAAACUCCGAAAGGCGUGAUGAACACUGUUUUGGCUUGAUCUUCUUCUUUGAGGCUUAUCUGAUGAUAGCCAGAGUAGUAGUCGAGAAAGCAUAGUAAAGUGCAACCAGUGGUGGAGUCGACCACUUGAUCGAUCCUGGGUAGCCCGAAAGGGUCUUUUGGGCAGUGUUUCUUGAGGUCGGUGUAGUCGACACACAUUCUCCACUCGUUGUUUUUCUUACGAACGAGCACGAGGUUGGCGAGCUAGUCAGGGUGAAAGACUUCUUUGAUGAAUCCCGCCGCGAGUAGCUUGGCUAACUCUUUUUUGAUUGCUUCUCAUCUGUCUUGAGCGAACCGGCGAAGUCGUUGCCAUUUUGGAGUAGCUUUGGGAUCGACAUUUAGAGAAUGCUCAAUCAGCUCCUUAGGCACACCUAGCAUGUCAGCCGGUUUCCAAGCGAAGAUAUCAUGGUUAGCCUGAAGGAAGCUGACGAGCACGAAUUCCUAUUUAGGAUCUAGCCCUGUUCCGAUCAGGGCUGUCUUGGAAGGGUCGCCCGUCUGGAGGUCGACUGGUUUGAAGUCUUGCUCGCUGGCGGGUUUCACCUUUGUAGACCCUGACUUAUUUUCUGGGAUCUCUAGUUCGGUUGGGUGGAGCUUCUUUGAGGCUGUGAAGACUUGUUGCAUGGGAUUAGGUGCUUGAGAAGUUGCAGCAAUUUCCACGGCUUCAGUGUCGCAUUCGUAGGAUCGCCAUAGAUCUCCUCGCAGCGCUAGUUCUCCCUUGGAGCCUGGCAUUUUGAGUACCAAGUAAACAUAAUGUGGUAUGGCCAUGAACUUGGCAAGUGCUGGCCUGCCGAGUAUGGCAUGGUAAGAUGUCUUGAAGUCGACGACUUCAAAUCUGAUGUACUCGGUACGGUAGUGUUCUUUAGUUCCAAAGGUGACUGGAAGGACAACUUGUCCUAGUGGUAUAGUCGCAUUUCUGGGCACGAUACCAUAGAAAGGUGAAUCUGUUGGAGUAAUCAUUUCAGUGAUGUCGAGGCACAUCUUCCUCAAUGUCUUGGCGAAAAUAACGUUAAGUCCACUUCCGCCAUCGAUGAGUACUUUGGUUAACUUUGAGCCUACCACAACCGGAUCGAGUACUAGAGGAAAACGGCCUGGUUCUGAGAACUUGGUCCAUUGGUCCUUUCUGCUGAAGGAAAUGGGCACCUCUGACCAUUUUAGCGGUGUUGGAUCCAUUGGUUCAAUGGCCAUGAUCUCCCUGAGUACGAGUUUGUUGGCUUGCCUGGAUGCGGUGCUUGGAAUACUGCCAAAGAUGACAUUGACAGUUUUUGAGGCGGUCUGGAAGUCACCAUCUUCGUCUUCGUCGUUGUGGACUUUGCUCUUGCCCUUAUCUUUUUUCUUGGUGUAUUCUUCAGGGGGUGGUGCUGUGGAUAAGUCUUGCAUUACUCAGCGCAUGCUGUAGCAGUCUAUUGCCGAGUGCGUGCUAGUCGGGUGCCAUGGGCACCGCUUUUUGAGUAGCUCGGUGAAGGUUGGCCCUUCAUCAUUUUUAUGGGAUCCCUUUUUCCCAGAGUUGGUCAUGGCAGCAAUAGUGUUGUCGGGCUUCCUUUUGCAGUUGUGAUUACCCGAAUAGUUGUUUCGAGUAUCAUUGUGUCGAGUUCUAUCUUGAUCAUUGUUAUUGUUGUCGCGUCCACGGUUACGGUUGGAGCCAAAACGUUCUCGCUCUUUGUCUUCUUCAUCCGCCCACUGUUGCACCAUGACUUUGAGGUCUUUGACAUUAGCUGGUUGUCGGCGACCGAAGUCUUGGUAUUUUCAUCGAUCGUAGAGUCCAUUCUGGAAGCACUCGAUGACGUCUAUUUCUGAAAUGUCAACUAUGGUAAUCUUCUUUUUGAAGAACCAUCGCAGAUAAUCAUGUAAGGUCUUGCCUUCUUUUUGCUUAAUUUGACUUAAGUCAAUCUUGUUACCUGGUCUAGCCAUGGAGCCGGCGAAGUUGUUGGUGAAAGCCUUUGUCAGGUCUGCCCAAGAAUCAAUGGACUUGGGUUUGAGUGACUCAAGCCAGGUCAGUGGUGCGGGUUCCAUGCAUAUGGGGAAGUGGAUAACUUUGGUGUCGUUAUUGCCCCCGGCUGCUUGGACGGCUAGCGAGUAGCAUCAUAGCCAUUGAAUUGGGUCUUGUUUGCCAUCAUACUUGGUGAUUCCAGUUAGCUUAAACUUCUCGGGUAGUUUUGUUUUCAUUACCUGGUUUGUGAAAGUAGGAAAGUGGUUGUAGUUGUCAAAGUCUCGCUCGCGCCGACUAUUGAGGAUUUCUCGCAGAUCAAUAAAGUUGGACACUUCGUGGUUCUUCCGAGUAGGGCAAAUACUUUUGACCGAGUUGGUGCAGCUGACCUCUCCAAUAUCCUUAUGGCGUACUGGGGCCUUGUGUUUGCUUGGGCCUUGGCUGUUGUGGCGGAACACCUCGGAUUAACUCAACUAAAGUACGGUUAAGUCGCUUAACACGCGAAUCUCAUGCUUCAAUCGAGUUAACUCGACGAUCCGUCAGAUUUCAUCCGAUUUAACCACUAGAACAGGACCGAGUUAGCAUAGCUCACACGAAGGUGAAUGGUUUCAGAGAAUACAAAAGAUCCACAAUCAGUUCAACAAUUCAUUACACACUGGUUUGAAAUCAGAGUUUUACAAGGUUCGAAAAACAACUGAAGUAAAAAAAAUAUAGCGGAAGCUAGCGCCGGGGUCGGAUAUCCCUGAUGAGGCCAAACAGGACAUCAGUGAUCCCACUCCUCGCCGUCCGAGGAAGGAUCCUACUCGAACGUCCACCCAGGAGGGAGCUGGGGCGGCCAAGUGCCAACAGCAGCAUGCUCGGAAGUUUCAAAUUCACCUGAAAAGAGAUGCCACAACAAGGUUGAGCUUCUAAGCUCAACAAGACUUAACCGACCGGUGGGAAAACUACUCCACCACUUCUAGACAUGCAAGACUCUUUUGCUGAGGGAUUUUGUUUGCUAAAAGCAACUAUGUUAGGUCCUUACUUUCAAAGUUUCAGCUCAGAUUCUAAGUUCAUUAACCAGUCUACAUUGGCAAUUUAUACUAAACAAGCAUAGAUCCAAACAUUAUGUGUAUAAACUCAACAGCAAGUUCAUGUCAUCAUCAGAUUCCUUCUUUACUCAGUGUAGCAUAGCGAUCAAGCAGUCUCAAACUGUGAGUGGCAGACGAAUCGAUUCGAGUUCCUUAACCAUGCAUGGCGAACCUAACCUCACAAUAUCCGUGCACCACCGAGGGUCGCUUCCUAUGUCGGCCGUCCCCAUCAAUUCCCUAACCCGUGUCGAGCCCACUUCUCUUGGUGCAAGGUUCCACAGACCUGGCCUCUGCCGUUCUGUGACCACACUUGCCACCACAUGCGGCCGUAGGGGAAACUCCAUUCCAGAGAUAGUGGAUCGAACCGCUCACGUCCAGGUUCAAUCAGUUACUAGGCUUCCCCAUCCCAUAAUGGGUAUGAGAUUAGUACUUUCAAACACUUGAUCACGAACACCACCACUGUCGGGCCAUAAACAGAUUCAAGUAAACAGAUGGGGCGAUCAGCUGACCACCAAAAGAGUUCACCAAGCCCUGCCCCGUCCAUUAUCCUUAUAGUUGUAACCAGAAGGAGAACAACCAACUCCUAUAACUCGCGAGUGACAGGAAAUCACUCGACUUUUACCGAGUCCUAUUAAGCAUUGCAACUACUCGGACUCAACGAACUAGUGUUUAUAUCAAGGGAACUAGUUCAUGCAUCUAUGGUUUCAAACAACUUAUAUACGUAAAUGCACAUACAUAUGAAGGAAGGCAUGUGCAAGUUUAGAAAGUUGGGUUCAUGCUCCAGGCCUUGCCUUCGAGCAGGGUGCAAGCAAACUGGUCCUCAGCAGUUUCUGCUUCAGCUCCGUCGGUCGGCAGCUCAGCUACUGCUCCGUCUUCUAGCGCCAGAUGCAGUUCGUAGGUGCCGUCGGCGAGAUUUAGCUCUAGACAAAUGUAAUGCAGGAGUUAGCACUUAGACGGUUAUUUCAACAACACUUGCACGUUCAGCUCAGACACUUGUAGCAAAGCUACAGGAAAGGCGGAUGAGUCCAACUUCAGUUGGUGGUGCACAGGAUAAAAGGGUCGGAUGGGGAGAAACUUAUGAUCUGACCCUUAGACUUAAGGAAUAACUGUACCGGGGUUCUCGGACUUAACAUAGGGGAAUCCCUAAAAUUUUACAAAGAUACCCUCGGGUCAAAGAAAAAGAUACAGCCGAGCCCUCGGGCGAAGCGGAUAAGGGUCAGCGAAACAGGCAGGGUCGGACGAGACGAAAAAAGGGGUCGAACGAACCAAACAGGGUCAGCAGUUUACCUUUAGGCCUACUGGUGAAGUCUUGGGGUCGGGAAGGAACAGACUUAGGUAGAAAGACUAAAGCACUAAGGCUUGGAAGGCGGCGAGGUUCGACGGUGCUCCGGCGGCGGCGGUGCUUCUUGUGGACAACAAGCAAGCUCUAGCACCGUGCGGAGGAUCAGGCGGCUGGUGGGUUGGGGAGAAGCUAGUUUGAGCAGAUAGGGGAACUUAUCAAGAGCUCAAGCGGCAGUGCUCAAGUGCGAGCAGAGUAGGGCGCGGCGAAACAGCGAUGGCGAAGGAAACUCCGGUGGGGGCUCUGGUACUCCUCUUUAUAGCUGCGCGGAAGAGAGAGUUGAGUAGGGCGAAGAUCGGGAAGAAAAGGAUGGAGUGCGCUGUCUUGGCGGCGAUUGAGCGGCGAUGGGCGGCGAAGCAGAGCUUCGGGGAUAGGGUGUUUGGCCAUUGGGCACUGGAGACAAGGCCGGCGCAGGCGCGAUUUUGCCGGGAUUAAGAUUUGGCGAAGGCGGGCAAGGUCUGGUCGCGUCAAGUGGCGGAUUGUGGGCAGCGACUUGAUUGGCGUGUGACAGGAAGGAAGGCACUACAAGCGAGGUCGCAGCAGGCAAGGUGACAGGGCGAGCGGCGGCGUGAGUGAGCGCAAAACAGCGGCUUGCCGGGGCACAUCACUGGUGAGGCGGAAAAAAGAGCUGUCCCUGCCGGAGCCAUGGUUGGCGGGGGCGGUAUCGUCGUGGAGCGUGCUCGUGGGUGGCGUGACUGUGGAGAGGCGGAAAAGCCGGAAAGCAUCGGGAGGGUGCGAGCGAGACGAGGCGAGGCAGAAAGGGCUGCAGGGGCUUCCGCUGCGAUUGGGAGGAAGGUGCGCUGAUCUAUCUUGUCGCGGUCGGCGACUGGGUGAGGCGGCACGUGUCGGAGAGAUCGAGCCACGCGGCGGUGAAGCUCUGAAGCGGGACGCACGCUGGCUCUGGCGCGUCUGACUCAAGAAAACCGGGGAUCUGGUUGUGGGUCCACCACUCAGUCUCUAGUUCUCCCACAGCUCUAAGAUUUUGGAGGAGCGCUGCCUCGGGACUUAGAGAAGAGUUGCUGUUUGCCGGUUGGUGCGGUUUUAGGGGUCGGACCGGUGGAACUGCAGAUUGGGAUUAGCCUUGAGAUUAACUAGGCUGGUUAACCAGGGUCGUUACAGCCUAACCCCCUUAAAAAGAAUCUUUUCCCGAGAUUCGGGUGUAAGGGUAACCAGUGGGGGUGUGCGGUCCUUACCCUCUUGGUUGAAAAGAAAACCUCUGAAGUGCGUGUUCAGAUACUCCUCUGUUUCCCAGGUUGCUUCUUCCUUCGUGUGGUUGCUCCAUAGUAUCUUGUACAUUUUCACAACUUGCCAUCGGGUGUGUCUUUCUUUAUGAUCGAGGACUUUGGCCGGGUACUCGGCAUAAGUCAGGUCGGGCUCGAUUUGAAGUUGCUCCUGUUCCAAGACCUCAAUUGGGACUUGGACACAUUUCUUCAGUUGGGAUACAUGGAAAACAUCAUGAAUGGCCGAAAGCUGUUCUGGUAGUUGGAUCCGGUAAGCAACUAGUCCACAUAGUUCCACAAUCUCAUAAGGACCAAUGUAACGGGGAGCCAAUUUUCCCUUUACUCCAAACCGUUGCACUCCUUUGGUCGGGGAGACUCGAAGAUAUACGUGAUCACCAAUGUCAAACCGGAGGGGUCUCCUUCUCCUGUCGAAGUAACUCCUUUGUCGAGAUUGGGCUGCCUUGAGGUUUGCCUGAAUCACCCUAACUUGUGCUUCGGCUUCUACUACUAAAUCAGGACCAUAUGUUUGUCUUUCUCCAACCUGUGACCAACUCAACGGUGUCCGACAUCUCCGACCAUAUAAGGCUUCAAACGGUGCCAUCUUCAAGCUAGUCUGGUAGCUAUUGUUAUAGGAGAAUUCUGCCAAGGGUAAGCACUUAUCCCAAUUCUUGUCAUAAUGGAUGACACAAGCUCGUAGCAUGCCUUCAAGGAUCUGAUUUACUCUCUCGGUCUGGCUAUCGGUUUGCGGGUGAUAGGUCGAGCUACGAAUGAGUUUGGUGCCAAGUGAUGCUUGUAGCUGUUCCUAAAAAUGCGCUACAAACUGAACACCUCGAUCAGAUAUGAUCAUCCUGGGCACACCGUGCAGAGAAAUAAUGCGGUCAAGAUACAGCUCUGCAUAUUUCUUAGCCGGGUAGGUGGUGUGAACCAGAAGAAAGUGGGCAGACUUGGUAAGGCGAUCCACGAUAACCCAAAUGGAGUCAUGUCGAUGCGGCGUAGGGGGCAGUCCAACAAUGAAAUCCAUACUGAUGUCUUCCCAUUUCCAUGAUGGGAUAGGUAGCGGUUGUAGGGUACCUGCUACCUUCAAAUGGUUGGCCUUGACACGUUGGCAGGUGUCACAUCCCGAAACAUAGCGUGCAAUUUCGGGCUUCAUUCCAUUCCACCAAAAAGUUUGACGGAGAUCAUGAUACAUCUUAUUACUGCCAGGAUGGAUUGAGAACUUGGAGAUAUGAGCUUCAUCUAGGUGUUUCUUCUUAAGAGCGGGGUCGGAUGGGAUAACCAGUCGAUUCCCAUAGUACACUCUCCCAUUUCCAUCCUGUCGGAAUUGUUUAUGCCCCUCAUCCCUUUGUGCAAUCUUCCUUUUAAUUUGCCUUAUUCCCUCAUCCUCUAGCUGCGAUGACUCAAUUUGGUCCUCCAGAACAGACUCAAGGGAGAUAUGACCGAGGGUUCCAUGGGAAACAAUUUCCAAACUAAGCUUUUCCAUCUCAUUACACAGGUUUCUAUGAAGUUGGUUGCAGUCAAGCAAUUGCAAUGGGUCUUGCGGCUAAGAGCAUCUGCCACUACGUUGGCUUUGCCGGGGUGAUAAUGUACUUCCAAAUCCUAGCCCUUGAUCAGCUCUAGCCAUCUUCUUUGUCGCAUGUUGAGUCGACUUGAGUAAAGAUGUACUUGAGGCUCUUAUGGUCGGUGUAGAUGUUGCACCGGGUGCCCAUCAGAUAGUGUCUCCAUAUCUUAAGGCAUAAAUAACUACUGCUAACUCAAGAUCAUGGGUCGGGUAGUCUAGCUCAUGAGAUCGCAAUGCAAGUGAGGCAUAGGCAACGACUCGGUUGUCUUGCAUAAGAACACACCCAAGUCCAGUGCCAGAGGCGUCACAGUAUACGUCAAACGGCCUGGAAGGGUCGGGUUGAGCUAAAACUGGGGCAGAAGUCAGCAGGUGUUUUAAGGUGUGGAAAGCUUCUUCGCACUUGUGGCUCCACACAAACUUGACUUCCUUUCUCAGUAGCUUGAUCAUCGGCUUAGCUAUCUUUGAGAAAUCUGGAAUGAAACACCGAUAGUAGCCUGCUAGUCCAAGAAAGCUGCGGAUUUGCUGAACUGAUGUGGGUGACUUCCAGUCCAUGACCUCCUGUACCUUGCUGGGGUCCACUGCUAUGCCGUUCCGAGAGAUUGUGUGUCCCAAGAACUUGACACUCUCCAACAAGAAUUCACACUUGGAGAACUUAGCAUAAAGCUGAUGAUCCCUCAACCGCUAAAGAACCACAUGAAGAUGCUCGGGAUGUUCUUCUUUGUUCUUCGAGUAUACCAGAAUAUCAUCAAUGAACAUCACCACGAACUUGUCCAGCUCGAGCAUGAACACUGAAUUCAUGAGAUACAUGAAAUAAGCGGGUGCAUUGGUGAGUCCAAAGGACAUAACCAGGUACUUGUAGAGUCCAUAUCUUGUGUAGAAAGCAGUUUUGGGAAUGUCACAGGGUCGGAUCUUGAUUUGGUGAUAACCGGAACGAAGAUCAAUCUUGGAGAACACUCUAGCUCCAGCUAAUUGGUCAAACAGAACAUCAAUGAGGGGAAGGGGAUACUUAUUCUUGACAGUCACUGCAUUGAGGGGUCGGUAGUCCACACACAUGCGUAGACUUUCAUCCUUCUUCUUCACAAACAGGGCUUGGCAACCCCAAGGUGAAGUACUGGAUUGGAUAAAGCCUUUCUCCAACAGAUCAUGCAAUUGGGUUUUCAACUCGGCCAACUCGGCGGUGGCAUUCGAUAGGGUCUCUUCGAUAUCGGGGCGGUGCCUGGCUGUAGUUCAAUGGCAAACUCGAUAUCUCUAUCCGACGGCAUGCCGGACAUGUCAUCCGGAAACACAUCGGGGUACUCACAGACAACAGGAAGGUCUUCUAUCCGGGCUUCCAUUACAGGGUACGCACAAGGAGUUGCGUAUUCAGGGUGGGUCAAGCGUAGGGUAGAGUUGCCAUGCAAAGGUGAGUUGAUGUGGAGAGCUCGAGCAGCUACGUCCAGAACCACCUGGUGUCGGGUCAUCCAAUCCAUCCCCAAGAUGACAUCUAUUACUUCUAGGUCAAGGAUGAUGAGAUUCUCCCUAAAAAGAAUCUAGCCUAACUAGAUAGGCACAAGGUUAACUAUCUUGUCUGAAGCUAUUUUCCUUCCCGGGGUGGAGAUCACAUAUGACCCUUUGGUGUGACCAACGCUCAGCUUACAUCUCUCACCAGUCUUAUUCCCGAUGAAGCUAUGGGAUGCUCCCGAGUCAAACAAAACAACAACAAUUUGAUUAUGGACAAGGAAGGUACCCGUCAUUACUGGCGCACCUUCGGGGAGGUUGGUUAGGAUGGUGUAGUUGAGCCGACCUUGGUGAACCUGCACCUUGGGCUUUCUUCCCCUGUUGGCUAUGGGGUUUUGGCCGGGUCGCUGAUUCUUGUUUCUGGGGUAGUCCUUGGUCAAGUGCCCUUCAUUACCACAGGUGAAGCAGCGGUUACCAUUUGCAGGGCACGGUGGCGGCGAUAAGGUUGGCCGGGGCGCCUGCGGGUGAAAACCGGGGAAACGAGGUGCCGCUGGUGGUGGAGGACGAGCAACCCAUCGUCCCAACUGCUUUGGUCUGUGGGGCACCUGAGGGGGAACCAUUCUGAAUCUUCGAGCGGGCGGGCUUGGCAAUGCCACUGAGGCCUUCCGCUUCUGAUCGGCCUUGAGGGCCUGCAUACAAUCUUCUUGGGAGAUGGCCAGAUUCACUAGCUCAUUAUAGGUAUCCACCUUGACAGGGUUCAACCUCUCCUUGAGCUCCAAGCUUAAACCUCUACGAAACCUAUCCCUCUUCUUUACGUCGGUAUCCACGUGAUAGCCUGCAUAGCGGCACAGGUUGUUGAAGGCUUGCGCGUAAUGCAGAACAUCGUGGCUUAUCUGGGUAAGAGCCAAGAACUCAUUGAGUUUACGCUCUAGAAGACCUUCUGGAAUGUGGUGCCCUCUGAAAGCGGUCUUGAACUCAUUCCAGCUGACGACAUGGUCGGCCGGCAACAUGGCAUGGUAGUGAUCCCACCAAAGCUGGGCGGAACCACGCAGUUGUUGAGCUGCGAAUCGAGCCUUGUUCUGGUCGGGGCACGAGGUGGUGAGGAGUUCGAAUUUGGAUUCGAUCGUGCGAACCCAUGCGUCGGCGUCGAGAGGGUCCUCUAUCUUGUGGAAGGUCGGGGGCUGCGUGCUCAAAAAGUCUUCAUAGCGAGCAACCGGAGGUUGCUGAUGAGCCCUCCCUCCAUGGGGCUACUGCUGUUGCCCUUGGACAAUGUGCCUCAGCAGCUCAGUUUGAGCUGCCAAGAUGGCUUCCAGCGAAGGCCGAGGUGGAGGCAGGGGAAGGUCCUACCACUGCUCACUGCCACUGGGCACAGAGCCGGAUCGGGUGCGGUGUGCCAUCUGCAAGAGUCAACGUUCCAUUAGUUUCAUAACCCCAGAAGUAUUCCAAUCAUGCGGGAAUGUAGGUGUUGAAUCCUUAAAUGCGACUCUUGCCGAUAGUGCAACACAACAACAUAUCUUUAUUAAGGAGGUGUACACCUCUCCUUGCCAUCCUAGUUGGCAACUAGCUUGGUUCUGCAUGGUCAUAUUACUUUGCUAACUGAUCAGAAAGGUGUUUCAAUCCACACUCAGUAGGUUCUGCAACAUCCGUGUUCUCAUCGGCUGGUCUGCAAACAACCUUAGGUGAGUCAAAACCUCAUCCCAUGGGUUCCACUAUGUCCGACCUUAAGUGCUCGAGUCAGGCAAAGCGGAGCCGUGCAACAAGGGGUUGGGCGAGGCGGAGACCUGCCGCGAGGGGUCGGGCGCAUCCGACCUUGCGACCCGGGGUCAGCCACACUUUGGACAGACCCAAAGGAACGGAAACCUGCGUGCGGUCACAGCACAAAAACACACAACUUCGGCAUCCAAGGCGGAUCCCAAAAGGAACUGAUUCUACCAAGAUCAUUAUAUUGCUGGUCCUUUAACACAAGAGGAGCACUCAACUCAAGGCUAACCUAUUACAUUCCUAUCCAAAAUUUAGGUUGCCGAGGAGUACAACAAAAGAUUAGCUUCCUACAGUCUUCAACCUAAAAGUUAUCUAGGUUGCCUACUGAGGGAACACUAUGCGUUGGAGAAGGGGCAUCGCCAUCUUCAAUGUCCAUACUGGACGCUCCCACUACCUCCUCAGGGUCUUCUUGCUCGUCCAGCUACAUUUCCAAGGCAUGGAUGGCAUCAAGCUCGGCGUGGUGCUCGUCCAAGUGUGCGUUAGCAACCGCGAGCUCCAUCUCAACCUCCAUCUUUUCUUCGGCAAGCUGAAUCAUGUCAUGCUCCAUGUCCGUCACUUCUUCUUCAAGCUCAGAAAUCCUGGCCUGCAUAUCAUUGACCUGUAUGCUCCUCUGGAUGAGCUGAUACGACCGUUCCACCAAGUCUCUCUUGGCGGUGUUGAAAUGCUCCUAGGUGUCUACGGCUAUCUGAGCCAAGACAGCCAUAGCCCGGCCUUGAAGCUCAAUCAGUCGGUACAAAGCUGACAUGCACGUGGUGGUAGUAGAGAGGGAGACCAACGAGUGGGAGGCUACCAGCACCUCCAUGUUGUUGAUGCGAUCAAGCCAAGCCGGGUCCAGCCGAUCCCUAGCGGGAAACAAACCGAUCGGGUCCAAAAGGACCUCAAGCGGGUGUAGCCAGCAAAACUGGGUGAGAGCCUGUAGGGCAGCCGACUCCCAGGUGUCCUCCAGGGCGUGACCGUGGGUCGAGACCUCGAGCUGGGGCCACUCAGGCUGUACAGAGGGUGGAGGUACAACCACUUGCAUGUUGCACCGCUGCACCCCAUGCUCCUAGUACUCCCGUCCCGCGUAAAUAGGCGGUGAGUGGUACCCAAACCACCUCAAGGUAUCCCACAAAAUAUCAGGAAAACCCUCGAAGUGUAGGCACGUGGAGUGGGAAGUGCCAUCAGCGCCGCGAAACACAUGUCCAGGAGUAGCCAUCUGGAACCAAGAACCGAAACAAGCGUGAGAUAGAAACCCCAAGGAGAACAGAUCGGGCAGAGUGAGAUACUCGGAUUUCUGACUAGAGCGCAAGCUGAGAAGGUAACUAGAAAUCCUUAAAGCGAAGAAGAGCUUUACCAGGGCAAGGUUAUUUUAGAGAGGUGGUUUCACAGAUUUUAGUUCAUGACGCAUGCACGACCUACCUCGUCCUCUCAACCAAAACAAUUGCCAAAAGCUUUGGUCUUACGCGGUUAGCGCCGGUGGCAAGGCAACAAGUACGUCGCUUCCUAUAGUAGCUAGUCGGUUUCUAGCAGCGUUUCCCUAAGCGAACGCGGUUAGUGUACCUGCAGAAAAACACAACCACAUGAAUCUUUCGUGCCAGCACUCACGAAAGCGUCCCCAAGCAUUACCGUUCACUAUAGAAACGGCACCCAUGCGUUUAACGCUGCAUGGACAGCACAACAACCGUGGAAAUAAACCCCCUUUGAAUGGAACCAUAUAACCCGCAUACUCGAUAUGCGGAAUCUGCGCACGUAUCAUAGACGUGGGUGAACAACCAUGAUGAUAGGCGCAUUGGAAUCGAACCAUACCACCCUUCGCAUGAAUUAACAUACGGAACCUGCGCACGUAUGAUAAACGUGGGCGAAACAACCGCGAUGAUAGGGUCCUUUGAAUAGAACUCCCUAUCAACCCUCGCAUACUCGUGAUGCGGAACUCGGCACACGUAUGAUACAUGUGGCGAAGUGUUGGGGGUUAACAGAAUAACCAAUAAGUAGUAGCCACCUAAAAUAACCUCAAAAUCCCCUAGGACCUCUUGUACUAAGGUCAUCCUUAACGAUCGUACGAGAUUUUCUUGCAAAUUUUAUUAAAAAAGAACGUGUUUUAGGACCCGUUGUGUUCUCUGUCCUGCUAAACCAACUCUGGUACCAGUUGUGGCGGAACACCUCAGAUUAACUCAACUAAAGCACGGUUAAGUCGCUUAACACGCGAAUCUCAUGCUUUAAUCGAGUUAACUCGACGAUCCGUUGGAUUUCAUCCGAUUUAACCACUUGAACAGGACCGAGUUAGCAUAGCUCACACGAAGGUGAGUGGUUCCAGAGAAUACAAAAGAUCCACAAUCUGUUCAACAAUUCAUUACACACUAGUUUGAAAUCAGAGUUUUACAAGGUUCGAAAAACAACUGAAGUAGAAAAAAAUUAAAGCGGAAGCUAGCGCCAGGAUCGGAUGUCCCUGAUGAGGCCAAAUAGGACAUCAGUGAUCCCACUCCUCGCCGUCCGAGAAAGGAUCCCACUCGACCGUCAACCCAAGAGGGAGCUGGGGCGGCCAAGUGCCAACAGCAUCACGCUAGGAAGUUUCAACUUCACCUAAAAAGAGAUGCCACAACAAAGCUGAGCUUCUAAGCUCAACAAGACUUAAACGACCGGUGGGAAAACUACUCCACCACUUCUAGACAUGCAAGGCUCUUUGGCUGAGGGGUUUUGUUUACCAAAAGCAACUAUGUUAGGUCCUUACUUUCAAAGUUUCAGCUCAGAUUCUAAGUUCAUUAACCAGUCUACAUUGGCAACUUAUACUAAACAAGCAUAGAUCAAACAUUAUGUGUAUAAACUCAAUAGUAAGUUCAUGUCAUCAUCAGAUUCCUUCUUUACUCAGUGUAGCAUAGCGAUCAAGCAGUCUCAAACUGUGAGAGGCAGACGAAUCGAUUUGAGUUCCUUAACUAUGCAUGGCGAACCUAACCUCACGACAUCCGCGCACCACCGAGGGUCGCUUCCUGUGUCGGCCAUCCCCAUCAAUUCCCUAACCCGUGUCGGGUCCACUUCUCUCGGUGCAAGGUUCCACAGACCCGGCCUCUGCCGUUCUGUGACCACACUUGCUACCACAUGCGGUCGCAGGGGAAACUCCGUUCCAGAGAUAGUGGAUCAAACCGCUCAUGUCCAGGUUCAAUCAGGUACUAGGCUUCCCCAUCCCAUAAUAGGUAUGAUAUUAGUACUUUCAAACACUUGAUCACGAACACCACCACUAUCGGGCCUUAAACAGAUUCAAGUAAACAGAUGGGGCGUUAGCCGACCACCAGAAGAGUUCACCAAGCCCUGCCCCGUCCAUCGUCCUUAUAGUUGUAACCAGAAGGAGAACAACCAACUGCUAUAACCCGCGAGUGACAGGAAAUCACUCGACUUUUACCGAGUCCUAUUAAGCAUUGCAACUACUCGAACUCAACGAACUAGUGUUUAAAUCAAGGGAACUAGUUCAUGCAUCUAUGGUUUCAAACAACUCCUAUACAUAAAUGCACAUACAUAUGAAGGAAGGCAUGCGCAAGUUUAGAAAGUUGGGUUCAUGCUCCAGGGCUUGCCUUCGAGCGGGGUGGAGGCAAACUGGUCCUCAGCGGUUUCUGCUUCAGCUCCGUCGAUCGGCAGCUCAGCUACUGCUCCGUCUUCUAGCGCCGGAUGCAGUUCGUAGGUGUCGUCGGCGAAAUUUAGCUCUACACAAAUGCAAUGUAGGAGUAAGCACUUAGACGGUUAUUUCAACAACACGUGCACGUUCAGUUGGUGGUGCACAGGAUAAAAGGGUCGGAUGGGGAGAAACUUAUGAUCUGACCCUUAGACUUAAGGAAUAACUGUAUCGGGGUCCUCAGACUUAACACAAGGGAAUCUCCAAAAUUUUACACUGAUACCCUCGGGUCAAAGAAAAAGAUACAGCCGAGCCCUCGGGCGAAGCGGAUAAGGGUCGGCGAAACAGGCAAGGUCGGGCGAGACGGAAAAAGGGGUCGGGCGAACCAGACAGGGUCGGCAGUUUACCUUUAGGCCUACUGGUGAAGUCUUGGGAUCGGGAAGGAACAGUCUGAGGCGGAAAGACUAAAGCGCUAAGGCUUGGAUGGCGGCGAGGUUUGACGGUGCUUCGGCGGCGGCGGUGCUUCUUGUGGACAACAAGCAAGCUCUAGCACCGUGCGGAGGAUUAGACGGCUGGUGGGUUGGGGAGAAGCAGGUUUGAGCAGAGAGGGGAACUUAUCAAGAGCUCAAGCGGCAGUGCUCAAGUGCAAGCAGAGUAGGGCGCGGCGAAACAGCGAUGGCGAAGGAAACUCCGGUUGGGGCUCCGGUACUCCUCUUUAUAGCUGCGUGGAAGAGAGAGAGUUCAGUAGCACGAAGAUCGGGAAGAAAAGGAUGGAGUGCGCUGUCUUGGUGGGAAUUGAGCGGCGAUGGGCGGUGAAGUAGAGCUUCGGGGACAAGGUCUUUGGCUAUUGGGCACUAGAGACAAGGCCGGUGCAGGCACGGUUUUGCCGGGAUUAAGAGUUGGUGAAGACGAGCAGGGUCUGGUCGCGUCAAGCAGCGGAUUGUGGGUGGCGACUUGAUUGGCGUGUGAUAGGAAGGAAGGCACUACAAGCGAGGUCGCAGCAGGCGAGGUGACAGGGCGAGCGGCGGUGCGAGCGAGCACAAAACAGCGGCUUGCCGGGGCACAUCACUGGUGAGGCGGAAAAAGGAGCUGUCCCUGCCAAAGCCAUGGUUGGCGGGAGCGGUAUCGUCAUGGCGCGUGCUCGUGGGCGGCCUAACUGUGGAGAGGUGGAAAAGCCGAAAAGCAUUGGGGCGCGCGGCCAGGGAUCCGGGCGAGGUGAUGGGUGCGGGAUGCGAGGCGGUCUGGCACGGCAGCGGCAAAACUUCUGCCACGGCGGUGACAGGGCGCCUUAGCGCGGCCGGCGAGGGUGCAAGCGAGAUGAGGCGAGGCAGAAAGGGCUUCAGGGGCUUCCGCUGCGAUUGGGAGGAAGGUGCGCUGAUCUAUCUUGUCGCGGUCGGCGACUAGGCGAGGCGGCGCGCGUCGGAGAGAUCAAGCCACGCGGCGGGGAAGCUCUGAAACGGGGUGCACACUGGCUCUGGCGCGUUUGACUCAAGAAAAUCGAGGAUCUGGUUGUGGGUCCACCACUCAGUCUCUGGUUCUCCCACAGCUCUAAGAUUUUGGAGGAGCACUGCCUCGGGACUUAGAGAAGAGUUGCCGUUUGCCGGUUGGUGCGGUUUUAGGGGUCAGACCGGUGGAACUGCAUAUUGGGAUUAGCCUUGAGAUUAACUUGGCUGGUUAACCAGGGUCGUUACAGCUAUGUUGCUGAGGUUGGUUGACAACAUCAUUGUCGUUUCAUGGGGCAUUGUUGUUGUCUGCAGCUCCCCUGCUGCCUUCUUGGUGAGCUGUGAUGCGAGGAACGGACGGAAUUGGUGAUUCUUUGUCAAGUAAAUUGUAGGCUUGCUCCACGAGUUGUGCGAUCAGUCUAUUGCCGCCUGCUGCAUGAGUUGAGCUGUGGCUUCGUUAUCCCUGUCUUGAGGCAUCAACGUUGUUAGAAGAUUGAUUGAAGCGAUUGCCGCAAGUGGAGUAUUGUGCUCCUGAGCCUGAACUGCAUCGAAAGCCCUUUCAAGGUUUGUGAUGGGAAUAUUUGUGGCCAUAGAUUGUCGUCGUUCGGCUCGAGCGGCGUUGCGCAUCCUUCUUUGGUUUCUUUGCUCGGAGGUUUCAUUGUGAGGAGCAUCAGAUGUAGACUCAUCUUCAGAGAUGUUGUUGAGUUGUGCUAAUCGCCUAGGGGUUCUGUUCUGGCUAGUACCCGGGUUGUUAUUUUGAGUAAUAAUAAGGACUUCUCUGUCCAGGUAGUAGCUUCCGGAGCUUGAUGUUGCAAUCUUUGUGGAGCUUUCCUCGCGGUUGGAAGUGAGUGGAACGCUCUCUUGAUAUGGGAGGUUGUCUAUAUGAGCGACAAGGCGCGAGUCAUAGUCACGGGCGAGAAGAAAUGGUCGUAAUCCUGGCCAAUGUAUGAAUCUGCCUUGUGAUGUUGAAGAUAUGACCAGUCCUUGGGCUAAAUCGGAUAACGGUAUCUCUGAUGGAUAAACCGAGUCAGACUCGACAUCUUCAGCGUGCCCGAGUUCUAGUUGAAUCCGAGUAAGAAAACCUUGGUGAACUUCGGCUGCGUUGCGGAGUCCGUGCGGGAACCUCUUUGAAGUCGAAACCAACUUGGGAAUUGACGGGGACCGACUAGUCCGAAGCGAAGUCGAGUCCGACGCGUAGUUGAACUCAAAAUUUUCAAUUUUGAAAUCUUGGUUUUUUCUGGCCCGAUCUUCUGCUUUCUUCUCCUGAGUGUUGAUGAUCUGGCGCCGGAAUGAACCCGAGCCAUCGGCAAUGCAAAGCCAGGAUCCGAAAACGAAGGUGGCGCCCACUUCGAUGAAGAAGAGGGGCUUGAUGAUGACCGUUGCCAUUGAGUUCGCGCUGAGAAACUUGACGAGUUCCCCUACCUGGCGCGCCAGCUGUCGGUGUUUUAAACCGGCAACCCGCCUAGGGGGUACCCUAGGUGGUCUUUUAUGCAGUAAGGAUCGUCGAGAAUCAAGGAAUCAAUGGUGACGCAAGGAACACUAUUUAGAUAGGUUCAGGCCGCUAGAUCGCAUAAUACCCUACGUCCUGUGUGUUGGUUUGUAUUGAUCUUGGAUGAACUGGAGUUGUUCGUGUUUGAGGGGGGCCCCUGCCCGCCCUUAUAUACACGGGAGGGCAGGGUUACAAGUCCGAGUCCUAGUCGAGUACUAUUACAGAGUUCUACUCGGUAAGGCCUGAGUAGUUUUUCAUAUACAUACUUGACUAGUCUGAGUGGGAUAAGCCUAUCCCUUGUCCUGAUCAUAUCCGAGUACGCCCCUUAGUGGGCCGUCCAAGGUCUACUCGUGGGCCUGGGGUGCAUGCCCGACAGUGGGGAGAGAGAGGCCGGUGGGAAAGGAUAAGUUAAGGCUGAUGGAGAGAGAGAGAGAGAGUAGAUCGGGAGGAAUAAAAAAAGAGUGGAUAUAGUCCCGGUUGUUGGUUUCAACCGGGAGUAAAGAUCAUCCUUUAGUCCCGGUUGGUGGGAAUAAAAAAAGAGUGAAUAUAGUCCCGGUUGUUGGUUUCAACAAAGAGUAAAGAUCAUCCUUUAGUCCCGGUUGGAAACACCAACCGGGACAAAAUGAGUGGCUUUUAGUCCCGGUUGGUGUUAUCAACUGGGAUUAAAUGCCCCACCAGUUUCCUUCGUUGUUCCUAACCAUUACUAUCGGGACUAAAGGUGGCUCUGUAGUCCCAGUUGAUAUUACUGACCGGGACUAAAGAGCCCCCUUCAGAGCUGGUUUUUGGACCCGGGACUAAAGGAAGUCCCAGAUCCAAAAAAGACCGAGACUAAAAACGUUGGAUGGAAGUUCUAUUCUCUACUAGUGGCAAUCCGACGACAAGGACAUCAUCUGUGCCUCAGAGUCACUAUUUUAUUUGCCUUUGCACAUAUCCACCAUUCUAUAUCUUCUCAUGCUUGAAAAUCUUACAUUAUGUGGAUAUUCUUAUGAUCAUUGGCUCGGAAGGUAGGCGACCGUUAGAGAGUUUUCUUAAUUCAAUAAUAUAAGUGUUGAUUCCUGCUAGCUUUGUCCAAACUCCACAAUAUAAUUGCGUGACCUUUGAGAGAUGAGAGCUUGCAGAUAAAUAGGAUAGCCACCUUUUUAAUUGAGCGACAUGUAAGCACCUGGAAAAGAAUUCUUGUUUCAACUUUUGUUGCAGGGAGAAUGUUUUAUGAUGAAAGGAAAACCCUCCAAAGAAAACCAAAAAGUAAUUGUGGUUGAUUCUUAAAGUUACUUGGCUCUAAUAAAAGCUAUGGGGUAAGUCUUGCUCGGAUUAUUCUUUGAAGACCCAUACUUUGAUUAUCUUUGCUGCUCCUCUAAUCUUUUGUUUAAAGGACUAGGUACUUAACUCGCUUGCUCAGGUUUGGUUCAAGAUCUUUGUUCAACUCUUUGGAGAAGUUUAUAGUCGCCUGACUUGCUCAAGGACGAGCAAGAGCUAAGCAUGGGGGGAUUGUCGACGCUCGUUAUUGACACACUUGUAGUGCUAUUUUAACUAGUGUUUUCAUGCAUAUUCUUAUAGUAACCCGCCACUUGGCACCUGAAAUAACCCCAUUUUGCAUAUGUGUUAUAUUUUAGAGCAUAUUGUGUUUUGACAGAAAAUACGACAUAAUCAGGGGGAUUUUCAUAAAGAGCGAAAUGGAUAUUUGGACAUGUGUCGUUGAGGGAAGCCUGCACGAGGAAGGAGAGGACCAGAAGGGAUAGAAAGGGCCCAGGCUGAUCUGCUUGGGACCCUAUAGGCCAAUCGGCCCAGCCCAUUCCAGGGCUCGGUCGAGCUCCCGUUUCUUCAACAUCAAGUCCAUGACAUAUCUAGGGCUUUCCCACUGACCAUCGACCCAGAGCCACCGCCUAUGAAGGACUAUAAAUAUCCCCUCAUGGAUUACAAGGAAGGGAGAGUUGGAGAAAAGAGGAAACACCACGCAAACACUAUCCACUGCCACCACAAGGUUGGGAAACGGAGAGAACAUUGGAUCUAUAGGAGGCCACGCGAAGCGGAACACUAGAGGAGGCAGAAACCUCCCAAGAUGAUCGGCUUGGAGGUGCCCAGGCUGAUCGGCUUGGGGCUUUCUCGCCCCCGUUCGUCACAUCUUCGGUCCAGCUAAUCUACAGGGCAUCCUUUACCCCCUUUUGCAUCAACAUGUAUAAGAUCAUGGGGUAAAGUCUCUGUUUGUCCCCAGGGUUGUAUGGAGAUCUUUAUUUGUAAUCAUUGAACCUCUUGUUUAAUAUCUAUUUGUUAUCAAUCAUAUUUUGAUGAUGCUCUUUCAUAUAAUGGCUGGCCAGCGCUACUUUGGGUUGCUUUAUUGCUUACCUAGAAUGAGCAUCAUGUCAUGUUCUUAUUGUCCGACAGUUGAGUACCCUUGUGUAGUGACGGUAUGCGAGAAGUAAAGUGUUGGACAUGGUGCACAUUCACUCACGAUAACACUUAGAUCUAGUUCUUUCAUUCAUGGCGAUUGCAAGUGAUCCUAGAUCCCUAGGACAAGUGUUCCACUUAUCUUGUUCACAUCCUUUGCUCUCUAUCUGCUUUGAUCUAGACUGCUUAUUUCUUUUGCUAGUAUAAUUUUAUCCAAUACAAAGAGCUUUCGGUUACAUAGAUUAGUGCUUAGUUAAGUGUGCAAAUCCCUUAUUCUGUGGAUUGAUAAACCUUGGGGAAAUCUCUAAGGGAAAAGCUACAACUAAUCCGUGUGCUUAUAGUUCACAACUUGACGUGCUAAUUGCCAUCGACAAAAGGCUACAUACAUAACCUACCUCUUGUGAAUAGGUCAACUCUACUUCCCUUACCCCCAAAGACAAUAUCUAAGGCCUUCCCUCGUACCAAGAAGUGGUGGUCCUCCUGUGACCCAAGAUGGCAAAUUAACUGCUUUCAUACUUGUGCGGCUAGUGCUAAAUUGACACAGAGGAUUCGUGUGGCCAUAACAAACAGUGAAGAUCCACCUCCCCAAAGAGUUCAAAAGUACGUACUUGACAAAUGCAGAAAAUGGAAUUUGGUAUGGGUUGGUCUCAACAACUUGCUCCUCUAGCAUUUUUCUUUUUAUCGAACUAGUGAAUGAUACGAAGGUAGACUGGUGUAAUUUUCAUAUCACUCUAAUUAGGCUACUUUUAAUUGCAUGUAUAAAUAAAAAUCUCUCCAUUCUCCCUCAUUCAAAAAAUCUCAAUUUUCUCUAUCUCUAAAGUAUAAAAUAAAGCAUAAUAAUAAUGAAUGAAGGGAGGAUGAAGUAGCUAACUUUACAAUAUUUUGGAUGAGUGAAAUCCCCACGAAAUUGAGGAAAAAAAAUCGGGCAGCACCUCCCUAAGCUUCCUUGGUCUCCAUGGAGAAGGAGCCCAAGCUGUCGGUCAAUGAGUGGCUCGGGCUCGAGGAAGAAGAAACUGAUGUUUAUAGGGAGGACACCAACCGGGACUAAAGGCUACCAAUUAAUCCCAAUUGAGAGGCUCGGGCUCGAGGAAGAAGAAACUGAUGUUUAUAUGGAGGAUAUUUAGUCCCGGUUGGUAACACCAACCGGGACUGUUACCAACCAGGACUAAAGGCUAUCAAUUAAUUCCAAUUGGAACCACCAACCGGGACUAAAUGCCCCACCAAAUUGCCACGUGGGCGAUGGCCAUUACAACCGGACUAAAGGGGGCUCUUUAGUCCCAGUUGUUGUGGCAGUUGGACCCAGGACUAAUGCUCCUUUAGUCUUGGGUCCAAAAUCGUUCGAGACUUAUAUCGCUGGAUGGAAAGUUGUUUCUCUACUAGUACUAGUGCACAUUGGCAAAAUAGAUCUAUGUGGCACAUGUGACCGUAUAUGCACGUAUUUGACAAGUUCUUGCAUCUGUUUGCACAUUUUGCUACUUAGACUAAAGUGAUACAAUCAUAUAAGUUGUGGUAUGGGGGUGUAAUUUACUCUUUUGUUUUUUAACAGAUAUUCACAUAGAUUACGAAACGCGUGGAUUUUUAUCUACUUCCUCGUUGCUCAUAUAUCUAUCUAUCUAUUUUUUAUACCUAUACAGACUCUAUAGAAUAUCCCACAUUAAUCGGAGGAAAGGAAAAAUCUCUAGCCAUUGAUGCACCGUAAGGUCCAAUUUUAACGGUUCAAAUUAAAGGAAGUGCAAUCCAUAUAGUUAUGUCAAAAUAUUUAAGGAAUAUGAGUCUUGGGGUUCUCCACUGCAGCUUCCUUUCACGAGCUACACGUGCAUCAGUUCGACACUUAGGCUAAAAAUAGAUCAAUCCCUCCCUAAAAUUCACGUGCAUUAGUUAGGUUCUGGAGAAAAAUUCCUAGCUCCCUCUUCCCAAAUGCUAGGGAAUCUGUAUCCCUUUUAAUAACAGCAAGAUUUGAUGGAAGCUGGCGUGCUAGGCUCUCUUCACUCAUGCUGCCCGUAUAUCUUCUACGGAGUCUUUACAGUUCUCUACCCUCCAGCGGUGAUCCAUGGACUAAUUUUUAAUUCAGGUCACAUCGGAUAUUUGAUACCAAUUAGAAGGACUAAACAUGAACUAAUUAUACAACUAAUUGCAUAAUCCAUAGCUAAUUCGCGAGACAAAUCUAUUAAACCUAAUUAAUCCAUAAUUAACGCAUAUUUACUGUAGCAUCACCUGAUCAAAUCAUGGACUAAUUAGGAUUAAUAGAUUAGUCUCGCGAAUUAGUCUUCAUUUAUACAAUUAAUUUGUAAUUAAUAUAUAUUUAAUACUUCUAAUUAGUAUAUAAACAUUCAAUGUAAUAGGGACUUUAGUCCCUGAACCAAACAGGCACUUAUUGGCAAACAAGUUUUGUCACGAUUUAGAUGUAAAUUGUGAGGAGAAGUCAGCCAACUUGCUCCAACAGAUUCGAUAGCCUAGCAACACGUCAGAGAAAGCUGGAUGGUGACACAUGUGAGCAGUACUCACGGUAUCGAUGGAGGAUGCACACCAGUCAACGCUGGCAUAUCUAUACAUGAGCUAACCAUAGAGUUCAUAUGUUUUGAAGGAAACAUAAUGAAGGAAACAUAAUGAUAAAAAUAGAGGGGAAAACAUGUUACAUGAAUAGAAACCAUUCAUAUAUAUCAACUUAGAAAUAUACAUUAUGCAAAUCGAAUUCAAUAACAUUAUGUGAACUAGCCCGUGCAUUCGCACUGGUUUACGGCUAGUGGAUUCUAACUUCUAAGACUUGCUAUAUACCACGUGAGUGUCACAUGAAUUUCACAAGUUCAUGCAAUUUUUCAGGAGGCUCGAGUUUUAAACUUCUGUAGGCAACGACGAGUAUUCCUUUGCUCCAAGAAAUUAGUUUCAUAUGUUUUGAAGGAAACUUAAUUAUAAAAGUAGAGGGAAAAACAUGUUAAAUGAAUAGAAACUAUUCAUACGUAUCAACUUAGAAAUAUACAUUAUACAAAUUGAAUUUAAUAACAUUAUGUGAACUAGCCCGUGCGAAUGCAGGUGUUUACGGCUAGUGGAUUCUAAUUUCUAAAACUUAUAUACCACGUGAGUGUCCCGUGAAUGAAUUUCACAAGUUCAUGCAAUUUUUCGGGAGGCUCAAGUUUUAAACUUCUGUAGGCAACACCGAGUAUUCCUUUGCUCCAAGAAAUUGGUUUCAUGGGAUCUGAUUCCUUCAAGCAAGAACCACAGUGAGUUUGAAGAACAUGACAGCACGACAAAGUGCAUAUAUAUAGUCGGUUGACCCUAGUCCCAAAUUCACCGAUGUCAGGAGCCCAUCGGCCUAUUCGCUUCAGCUUAUUCAGCCGACUUAUCAGCCACCAAACAGUGUUUUUCUCUCACAACAAAUCAGCCGUUUUAGCUUUUCAGCCGGCUUAUAAGCUGAAGCGAACAGGCCACAUGUCUCCUAGACUCCUACCCGUUCCGACACUCCCUGCCACAGCGGCUGAAGGACAUCCCCUAAAUCCCUAAUCGAUGGAUCUACCAUACAAUACAUAUGCAUUGUGAAGAGCAGACACUAAAGUGAAUUUGAUCACCAAGCGAAGCACUGGAGUCCGGAGAUAUACACUUUGACAGGUCACAGAACCUCUACAGCCACAAGACAGACAGGCCGAAUGGUGGAACGGCAACUGGUUUCCAGGUUAAUGAGUUCCAUGCAGCUGGAACCUUUGUCAUGGAAGGCUGAGAAAUUAUCAUGUUGACCCAACCAGCUUGAUCGCUUCAGCAUAUAUCUUCAAGGGGAAAAAACAUAUAAUCAGCAUAUAACAUGAAAUGCGUCGAGUAACAUUGGUAUGUUGCAGGAAUUUCAGGAUAUUCCAAUACGUUCGCAGUCCAUUUGAUGAGGACACCACGAGUACAUCUACACCAGCAGCACCUCAGGCGCCUCCAGUUGCUCCUCCACCUCAGGCGCCUACAGUUGCUCAUCCAGUUGGGCCAAUCCCUCGAGCCCGUGCGAGAGAAUUAAACUUCACCAUGCUGUUAAGGAACGAAGGCCCAUCGGAAUAAGAAGAUGGCCCAACAGGGCAACCCAGGUGGGGCGCCUAGGGUUGGGCACGCGUGACCCCUUCGGACUCCAGGGGCUGCGUCCCCUUUAUUUAGUCCGAGUCCUUUUUGUUUACGACUGGAGUUUUGUUUUACAUCUAGCUUUAGCUACUCUUGAACACGCGCAAAUACGCGCUGUCCUUGUGUGAUUCAGAACUCCACCUUCGAGUGAUAUUUAGAUUGCUCGCCUCUUUUUCUUGUUCGUUCUUCGAUUGCGGACAGGAAUUGAUCUUCGUGAUCAGGCUGAUCUCGCACUGGCGAGGUUGGUAACCAUCGGGAGUUGGUUCAGCGAUUGCAUUGGCGCUUCGGUUUCGCUCGUCGUAGUCGGAUCGUGAGGGUCUACUUCCACCAAGUCGAAUUUAUCUCCACUCACCGAAAGAUCGGGCACUCCGACUCUAUCAAGUGGUAUCAGCUUUCCAGGUUGAUCGGUGAGUUUUACCGAGUGUUUUUCCCUUCCUACAGUCCACAAAAACAAAAAGAAAUUUUUUUCAGAUUAGAUCCUUGUCCCAGCAACCAUUUAGCCUCGCACAUUCUUUCAAUAAGUGUCUUUGUUGAAUUUGUGUGCCUACUCGUUCAAUUGUUGAUGGUUACUUGUGUUUAAUCUCUUGUUUCUCGUUUUCCCUCUAACCCUAGUUUUCGCCGCCGCCGUCGUUCCACUGCUCGCCAACCCUACCACGCCGCGCCCACCGCCCCCCCCCUCGCGACAACCGCGCCGCACCAUCCCACCCCUCCGAUCGCCCCUCCCCUGCAAAAAAAGAAAAGGGUUGAAAGCAAUCAAAAAAAAAAGGAAAGAAGAAAAAAAAGGAAAGAAGAAAAAAAAACAGGGAGAAGGAAGGUGAUCCGGUUUACUCUAGAGAGAGAGUAUCUUUUUUUUACCGGAAUACCCCUGUACUUUCGGAAAAAGUGUGCCAUAAUUUGUUGUUUGAGAUCCUCUGUGUUCAUAUUAUCAGUUUUGGGGCACCCUCUGUGGAAAAAAAACAGAAAAAAAAAACAAAAGAGGUGCGCGCCCUCUCCACCUUUGCCUCUGUUCUUUCGAUUUCCCUUGUUACCAGCAACUCUUGUUACGUGUUUGGCACUAUCUUUCAACUUUGCAUUAUUGUUUGAUUGUGCUAAUCCUUCAUUUGAGUGCAGCCUUCCCAGAACUCCACAUAGUUCUACGACGAGCAUAUUUUGUUUCUCCAGGCAAUCGCUCCUCCAAUCUUUCGCGAGUUCCACCGGUUGGUUGCAGUUCGCCCCUGUGUGGGUGGUAAGAACGGAUAAGAAUUUGAUAACAGCACUAGUGUGAGCGCCUUGUGAGCCGUUACACCCCUGUUUUGUCGUCGCUUGUGUUCUUGUAUUUGCGCUAACCAUGGCAGAUGAUGUCGAUGCGGGGGCUAACCAGCUGCAGGGCAUACGGGCACAAGUUGAAGGGCUUGUCACCGACAUUCAGACGAUUCAUGAACGGCUGGACUCGACGAUCUCCUCGACGACCGAGCGGUGUGAUCAGCUCGACCUUGCACAGACGACCGCUAAGGCCACACUCGACUCAGUUGUGGCAAGACUCGAUGCAUUGCACACAACAGUCGCAGAGUUGCAGCAGAGUUAUGGUGGUGACUCAGACCAGGACGAUGGCGACCGCCGAGGCCGUGCCCGCCGCGUGCCACGCCGUCCCGGUGGUAAUGAUUCCUUUUCCAAGAUUAAAUUUAAAAUUCCACCUUUUAAUGGCAAAUAUGAUCCUGCUGCAUAUCUUGAUUGGGAAUUAGAAGUUGAACAGAAAUUUUCAUGCCAUGAUAUUCUUGCUAAUUCUCAAGUUAAAGCUGCUAUUAGUGAAUUUACUGAUUUUGCUUUAAUUUGGUGGCGUGAAUAUAAACACAAACAUCCCAAUACCAUUCCAACCACUUGGGAGCAAUUAAAAACUGCUAUGCGCCAUAGAUUUGUACCUUCUUAUUAUGCCCGAGAUUUGCUUAAUAAAAUGCAACGUUUUCAGCAAGGUUUCAAAUCUGUUGAGGAAUAUUUCCAGGAAUUACAAAUAGGCAUGAUUCGUUGUGGGUUAUUGGAGGAAAAUGACGCUGCUAUGGCACGUUUUCGUGGUGGUUUGAACCGCGAAAUUCAGGAUAUACUUGAUUAUAAGGACUACACAGAUAUGACAACAUUAUUUGAAUAUGCUUGCAAAGCUGAACGUGAAGUGCAGGGACGCCGCUCGAAGACAUAUUCUAACUCUUUUGCAGGAAGAAGCUCGACAUCCAACUCCGCACCCGCUCUCCCUGCACCACCCACGCCCACCACUACACCGCGCGAGCGAACGGCCAAACCUGCAAGCGCUGCCCCUUCCACAGGCGCCGCCCCUCCCACAGGCCGUACACGGGAUAUUCAGUGUCAUCGUUGCAAAGGAUUUGGCCACGUGAUUCGGGACUGUCCGAACAAGCGCACUUUGCUUCUUCGUGACGAUGGUGAGUAUUCUUCCGCUAGUGAUUCUGAAGAUACUCAACAUGCGAUGCUUGCCACUAACCAUGCAGCUAUGGAGGUACAUGUCAACCCGGGCGACGCCGUUAGGUAUGAAAGUCUUGUUGUGCAGCGUGUUCUUAGUACACAGGUCGCCCCGUCCGAGAAGAAUCAGCGACACACUCUUUUCCAUACCAAGGGUGUUGUGCAGGAGCGGUCGAUUCGCAUCAUCAUCGACAGCGGCAGCUGCAAUAUUUUGGCGAGUACCACGCUGGUUGAAAAGUUGUCUUUACCCACUCGUAAGCAUCCACAUCCAUAUCACAUUCAAUGGCUUAAUGAUGGUGGGAAAAUUAGAAUUACUCGAUCAGUCCGUGUUCCUUUCUCCAUGGGUGCUUAUUCUGAUUUUGUCGAUUGUGAUGUUAUUCCCAUGGAAGCAUGCUCUCUGUUACUUGGGCGACCUUGGCAAUAUGAUACUGAUAGCUUGCAUCAUGGUCGUUCAAAUCACUAUUCUUCAUGUUUAAGGGUCAGAAAAUAAUUAUACAUCCAAUGACACCUGAACAAAUUCUUAAAGAUGAUCUUGCUAGAGAUGCUAAAACUGCUAAACAACUUGAACCAUCGACAUCUAUUAAUUCUGAAAUCAAGUUGAAUGCUCCUGUUUUGCUUGCCACACGUGCUGAUUUUGAUGAGUUACGCGAUGCUCCUUUGCCAUGCUAUGCCCUUAUAUGCUCUAGUGUGCUCGUUUCACUUGAUGAUGCACCAUCUUUGGAUAUUCCCCCUGCGGUUGCUAACAUUUUGCAGGAGUACGCUGAUGUCUUUCCAAAAGAUUUGCCACCGGGGCUUCCACCACUUUGUAGCAUUGAGCACCAGAUCGACCUCAUUCCCGGCGCACAGCUUCCGAACCGCGCACCGUACCGUACAAAUCCGGAUGAGACGAAGGAAAUCCAGCGCCAGGUACAGGCGUUGCUUGACAAGGGUUAUAUUCGUGAGUCUCUUAGCCCUUGCUCCGUUCCCGUGUUACUUGUUCCAAAGAAAGAUGGCUCAUGGCGUAUGUGUGUAGACUGUCGUGCUAUUAAUAACAUUACCAUUCGCUACCGAUACCCUAUACCACGCCUUGAUGAUAUGCUAGAUGAGCUUAGUGGUGCCAUUAUUUUCACUAAGAUUGAUUUGCGUAGUGGCUACCAUUAGAUUCGCAUGAAAUUAGGUGAUGAAUGGAAAACGGCUUUUAAAAUAAAAUUUGGGUUAUAUGAAUGGUUGGUUAUACCGUUUGGUUUGACAAAUGCUCCCAGCACAUUUAUGCGUUUGAUGAAUGAAGUUCUGAGGCCUUCAUAGGAUUGUUUGUAGUUGUCUAUUUUGAUGAUAUCCUCAUUUACAGCAAGUCUAUGGAAGAGCAUUUAGAACAUUUGCGUGCUGUUUUUGAUGCGUUGCGUGCGGCCCAUUUAUUUGCUAACCUCGAAAAAUGCAUGUUUUGCACACAACGUGUCUCGUUUCUUAGCUAUGUUGUUACUCCACAGGGCAUUGAGGUGGAUAGCAGCAAGAUUGAUGCCAUUCGGGAUGGCCUACACCGACGACGGUCACACAAAUUCAAAGCUUUCUUGGCCUUGCAGGUUUCUACCGCCGGUUUGUUCGUGAUUUUAGCUCCAUUGCAGCGCCUCUACAUGAGCUUACAAAGAAGGAUGUUCCCUUUGCUUGGAGUGAUUCGCAAGAGGUUGCGUUCAACACCUUGAAAGAUAAGUUAACCAAUGCUCCUCUCUUGCAGUUGCCUGAUUUUACUAAAGUGUUUGAGCUUGAAUGCGAUGCUAGCGGUAUUGGGCUAGGUGCUGUUUUGUUACAAGAAGGAAAACCGGUUGCUUACUUUAGCGAGAAAUUAAGUGGUGCUAGCUUGAAUUAUUCUACUUAUGAUAAGGAGCUUUAUGCUUUAGUGCGCACUUUGUAUACUUGGCAGCACUACCUUUAGCAUCGCGAGUUUAUAAUUCAUUCUGAUCAUGAGGCUUUAAAAUAUAUUCGUACCCAAACAAACAUGAACCGUCAUCAUGCUAAAUGGGUAGAAUUCAUUGAGUCUUUCCCUUACAUUAUUAAACACAAGAGCGGGAAGGAAAAUGUCAUUGCUGAUGCUUUGUCUCGUCGCUAUACCAUGCUGUCACAGUUAGAUUUUAAAAUCUUUGGCUUGCAAACUGUGAAGGAUCAAUAUGUGCAUGAUGCUGAUUUUAAAGAUGCUUUCGCCCACUGUAUUCAUGGCAAACCAUGGGGCAAAUUUCACAUACAGGACGGGUUCCUGUUUCGCGCUAACAAGCUGUGUGUUCCAGCUAGCUCGGUUCGUCGUUUGUUGUUACACGAAGCGCAUGGAGGCGGUCUCAUGGGGCACUUUGACGUCUACAAGACGCAUGAAGUGCUGGCUGCCCACUUCUUUUGGCCUCGGAUGCGCGCUGAUGUUGAGCGCCUUGUUGCACGCUGCACUACUUGCCAGAAAGCUAAGUCACGAUUGAACAACCAUGGUUUGUACAUGCCUUUGCCUAUUCCUACUUCCCCUUGGCUUGAUCUUUCUAUGCACUUUAUUUUGGGAUUGCCUAGAACUAAGAAGGGGAGGGACAGUAUUUUUAUGGUUGUUGAUCGUUUCUCCAAAAUGGCUCAUUUUAUACCUUGUCAUAAGACUGAUGAUGCUAGCAAUGUUGCUGAAUUGUUCUUUCGCGAGAUUAUUCAUUUGCAUGGUAUUCCAAAUACAAUAGUCUCUGAUCGUGAUGCUAAGUUUCUCAGUCAUUUUUGGAGAUCACUGUGGAAUAAAAUGGGAACUAAAUUGCUGUUUAGCACCACUUGUCACCCUCAGACUGAUGGGCAAACUGAGGUGGUUAAUCGAACCUUGUCCACUAUGCUUAGGGCUGUUUUAGAUAAACACUUGAAACGUUGGGAAGAUUGCUUGCCUCAUGUUGAGUUUGCUUAUAAUCAUGCAACGCAUUCUUCUACAAAGAUGUGUCCUUUUCAAGUUGUUUAUGGUUAUAUUCCUCGGGCGCCUAUUGAUUUGUUUGCACUUGCUGCCGAGGACACCCCACACAUAGAUGCCGCUGCACAUGUUGAUCAAAUGAUUAGCUUGCAUGAGCAAACUAAACAAAACAUUGCUGCUGCUAAUGCUAAAUAUCAGGUUGCGGGUAGUAAAGGGAGAAAACAUGUUACUUUUGCACCGAGUGAUCUGGUUUGGUUGCAUUUGAGGAAGGAUCGUUUUCCUACCUUACGUCGUUCUAAAUUGAUGCCACGUGCUGCUGGUCCUUUUAAAGUGCUAACCAAGAUUAAUGAUAAUGCUUAUAUCCUUGACCUGCCUGCGGAGUUUGGUGUUUCCACGAGUUUUAAUGUUGCAGAUUUGAAACCGUAUGUGGGCGAAGAUGAGGAGUUGCCGUCGAGGACGACUUCAGUUCAAGAAGGGGAGGAUGAUGAGGACACCACGAGUACAUCUACACCAGCAGCACCUCAGGCGCCUCCAGUUGCUCCUCCACCUCAGGCGCCUACAGUUGCUCAUCCAGUUGGGCCAAUCACUCGAGCCCGUGCGAGAGAAUUAAACUUCAUCAUGCUGUUAAGGAACGAAGGCCCAUCGGAAUAAGAAGAUGGCCCAACAGGGCAGCCCAGGUGGGGCACCUAGGGUUGGGCACGCGUGACCCCUUCGGACUCCAGGGGCUGCGUCCCCUUUAUUUAGUCCGAGUCCUUUUUGUUUACGACUGGAGUUUGUUUUACAUCUAGCUUUAGCUACUCUUGAACACGCGCAAAUACGCGCUGUCCUUGUGUGAUUCAGAACUCCACCUUCGAGUGAUAUUUAGAUUGCUCGCCUCUUUUUCUUGUUCGUUCUUCGAUUGCGGACAGGAAUUGAUCUUCGUGAUCAGGCUGAUCUCGCACCGGCGAGGUUGGUAACCAUCGGGAGUUGGUUCAGCGAUUGCAUUGGCGCUUCGGGUUCGCUCGUCGUAGUCGGAUCGUGAGGGUCUACUUCCACCAAGUCGAAUUUAUCUCCACUCACCGAAAGAUCGGGCACUCCGACUCUAUCACCAUUAGUAGUCAAACUUCUUUUGUCAGUCAACUUAUUAGUCAACUUAUUACCAGAUUAAAAUAUUUCCUUGUCUCUAAUGUGCAAAAUCAGGCGCAUUGUCCUCAUAGAAAUUAAAACUAAAUUCAGAACAAAGUGUUUUAGAUGCAUAUGAAGAAAAUGGCAAGCUUAUUUCAAAGGUAUGGGCCAAAAACCUUCAUAACAAUCCAUGCUUGCCUUCUCACAAGGACCAAAGGGUGGAUUCGCAUUUGCCUAGAAUCUAUUUGGUGAACAGUUAGACAUAGUUCUAGCUCUAAGACAAUACAUGUCAUCUAAGAUAUACCAUUAAAGCUAAUUUCUCCAAUGGACUGUCUCCAACAUUGUCUCCUUUUGCUUUUAAUUAAUGACUGCAUGUGUAUACAAGAUGGAGCAUGUGUAUAGAAGAUAGUGAAGAGUCGGAAAAGAGUUAGUAGCAGAUGAUUAAGUUGACUCUUGUGCCCUCGUUUUCUGAGCGAGACUAGCAGGGAAAUAACAGAUAGCUUGGAUGUUUCCCCCCUUUCUCUUUCCUCCACAUACACACAAUGUCAUGUACAUGCUAAUAGACAGCUGAGUUGGCAUUGUUGGAGGCCUAAUUCUACAUGGGAAACCAGAACACAGAAUGUACCAAAACUACACUACGGUUUUGGCCAUAUAUUGAGUACAAGAGAACAAUACAUUUUAGUAAAUAUGCAAUAGAAUUGCCAAUCAAAAGCAAAAUUACCUUUACCUAGUAUAUACUGUUUACAAACCUCAGGUCGUGCAUAAUCUCAAUAUUUUCCCAGUACUAGAAAAAAAUUGACCACCUCAUAGCUUAGGUUUAGACAGGCAAUUAUGAAAGUUAAAUUAGAAUUGCCAAGUAUUCGUAGUUUAUAAUUUUAGAUUUUCCUAAGGUUAUAGUCCACUUUACUCCCUUGUAGUAUUCCAGAGUCCAAUUAACCACCUAAAGUUUGAUUUGGUUGAAUAACUCCCCACGUUCCUUAAAACAGAUUAUUUUUCACCUUUUGUUGCCCAUAAUUCCUGGUUAUGCCUACAUGGGAAAAAAAAAGCUAAAAACCAGUUUUGCUGUUUGGGAUGGCCACAUGGACUCACCAUGUGGACACACGAACUUUGAAUUGCGCGUGGCGGCAUAUGAUGCCCACAAGAAUCCCUUUUGGAAGUAGCUAAGGAAACCAACACUCCCGUGCAGAGGAAACUAAGCAAUCCAGUGUGUCCUCAUGCUGAGCAGCAAUGACAGCACCUGGACAGCAACGAUGGAUGCACAGGCUAAACCACAUUAUCAAUUCAGGGUAUUGGCAACAAAAUGCAACUAAACUAAACUCAAUUUGGUUCAGCUAGUUUAUUUCACUUCCAUAUUUUCAAAAAAGUUGAAACAGUGUUCUACACCAACAAAGUAAAGCACACAUAAACAAAAAGCUCAUUUGGUAAUAUACUUGAAUGUGAAAUUCAAUGUAGCACCAUUCAAUGGCUCAUCUUGAGUCUUGAGUACGCACACAACUUGUGUAUGAAAUAAAGUUUUUCACUCAACUAAUCCAAAGCCAAUUCAGUAUGCACCUGAGGGCUAACUAUGAAACUCCCUACUGCCUUUAUCUUUUUUUGUCUCAGAUAAAACACUAUGACAAAUUUAGCUAUGGGAAAUCACGAACGCAUCUCAUUUAAAGAAAAUGUGCUUCUAAUUUAGUUCUCAGCAUUUUUCUAAUCAACUGCAAUGCACCCCCACCUUCUUCCAAAAACAUGACCAGAAGUUAGCAUUCAGUAAAGGAUAAGAGCACCCUAGGCGGUCCUAGACUCAAAACCCACCCGGGUUAGUACUUGGGAGGUUGAAUAGCCUCUCUGUCAGCACCAGGGCAGUGCCCUGUUCCCAACAUACUAAAAACUUAACCAACUGAAAAUUUAAAGGCACAAGAACCAUGCAAUUUUUAUUGUGUUAAAAUGGGAGGUUUAUCCAAUCUCUUCAUUUCACACUUCGAAAUAGAGUAUAAUGCCAAUAGAUAAGCAUGAAUUAUCAUCUACUUCCAAAACAUCACAAAAAGAACAGGAGUGCCUCACUGACCUGACCACACAGGUUUUAAAAUUUAAGUGUAGAAGAGUAUGGUUCUAUCCCACAGAUUGUCAACUAGAAAUCAUUUUAAGCAUUGAUCCCAUUUUAUUUAUUAAAGUUGGUCUACUCAAAAACCCAACAAAAAAGCCCAAAAUAAGAAAUUCCAGCCCUUUUCAGCAUUGAUCCCAUUUGAUUUAUUGAAGUUGGCCUACUUAGAAACCCAACAAAAAAGGCCAAAGUAAGAAAUUCCAGCCCAUAUUUCUCACGCUCUCCUAAAGAUAACUGGUUACUUAAAGCAAUGACUACCGCAGAUUAACAAACCAGUAAUGAAUUCGACCAGUGUAAGCCCAGAUUUGUCCCCUCAACUUUGCCCCUCGAGUGCUUCGUUCUCAGUCAUAAAGGUCUGUGUAUCACAUCUGGACCCAAGGGGCAAAGCAUUACAUCUUGAGAGUAGCUCUUAACCAAUGACAAGAUUUUAGCUUAUUGCCACCCCUGCAUCUGUGAAAGCACAAUCAGGCCAGCCCCCUCUAAUAAUUGGCCCAAGCUCCGCCACUGUCUCGACCUAAACCAUAAUUGCCUAGUUCCGAAUAUUGUCUAGCGGGCUUGAUAUUUUUAUCGUCAUUGAGCAUGGAAAAAAUAACAUUUUGGUUCUUCCUGAACAAGAUGACGUUAUAUUCAAUGAAAAUCUCACUAAAUCAUGAAGAUUAUAUAUUUAUUAAUCUAAAUAACAAAGCAUGAAUGAUAGUUGGAGUAAUUGUUUACUCUAUAGGUCACGACAUCAAAGAGCCUUUUUUCUGUGAUCAAGUACAUCCAAUUUGCACAACAGGUCAUGGGCUAAAUUCUUGCAUAAUUAUAUGAUCACCUUUGUUAAAAAGUGGUCGACUUGACACAUUUCACAAUGAUGCAGCUAUGCAUUUAUCUCAAACGCAUAUUGUGCAACAGUACUAUGAUAUAAUGUAUGUAGCUAUCCUUCUGUCAAUCAAAUCUACACAUCUAAACAAAGUGACUGAGAUUCAAAGCUCACUAGUGAGCAAAGCCAAAAUCAAAACUCAAAACUACAAGUUACUGUGACAGGCCAAUUAGGCCCACCCAAUUAUCACCAGGGGAGGGGUGUGAAGGCAGCAUGCCACCUAAUCACACCACCAGCUCCCCAAUCACCUUGCCACCCAAGUCAGAUCAUCAUCAAUUAGGAAGUUCAUCCCAUGCAAGUUAGGAAAGAUCGGAUCAUUCCUAUAAGAAUUCAUCUAUCAUUUACUAAGGGUCAAGUCACCUUCCUCUAUAUAAAGACUGGGGAUCUAUCUUGGUUGAUUAAGCAGAAGUUAGGUCUAAACCAGUUCUGUUUUCUAGCUUUCAGCCUCCUCCCUCCUUAGUCCCCAGCGUAGCUGCAGUGCCCACCUCCACGGGCACUGCCCACCUCCUCCCUCCCCAACAAAUCACGCCCAUAAUAGUAUCAAAAUGGUCAAUGGCAAUUAUGUGUAAGACACAAACUGGGCAAAAGGAGAAGAUAGACAUGCCACCACAAAGCAGGUAAAUUAAUUGGAACCCAGUUGGUUAACUGGUAUAGCAAUGAAAUUACCUGAUGCUUCUUUGUUAAGAACAUGUCAGUGUAGAACAGUAUGCUUUGCAGGGAAAGGGUGUAUGUGGCAUAAAAAAUGGUGAUUCGUUUUGUCCUUUUGGGUUAAAGCCGCUCAUUAGUUCUUCCGUUUCCAACAGCUUUAAAAAAGUUCUGGUCUGCAAUAAUCCAGAAGAUAAAGGAUACAGUGCAUUGGGGCUGUAGGACAAAUUAUCCAGAAGAUCAGUCUUUUACAUUACCAGAAUACCAGUUUCUCUACAAUUUCUAUGGAAAGGGUAGCCCAUUCCCAAAAAAAUUACAAGCAGUAUUGCAAAAUUUUCAUUCUGAAUAGUUAAAUCUUUUGUCGGGACAUUUUGUCUUUGAUUAAAAUAUGCUUCACAGUGCAAAAUAAUGCGUUGCAAUUUAAAAAAUCAAAACACUAUUCACAUGGUAACAAAAGGUUAGCAGCAUACUUUCAUUUCAACUGAGUCUUUAAGAGUCAGGACCAAAUGCUAUUUGAUUCAAAUAUUUCCAACUUAAGGAAGCAAGACGUACCACAAUCAAUUGCCAAAGAGUAAGUUCAUGACGCCCCUGAACAAAUGCCCGCGCUUUACUGUGCCACUGCGCACCGCCUCCUCGUCUGCCACGAAGCCCUUUCCCUUCAUCGUCUCCAGCAGCACUUUCCCCUCCUCCACCUUCUCCGCCCUCACGUACGCCUCGAACGCGGCGAUAUACGUCGCCACAUUCGGCCGCAUCCCUCGGUCCAGCAUCUCCACCAGGUACCUCCCGGCCUCUGAGCACCGGUCGCUGGCCGAGAGCCCCCUGACGAGCACGGCCAGCGUGUAUGCGUUGGGCUUGACGCCCGACGCGAGCAUGCGGUCGUAGGUGCGCACGGCGUCGCGCCAGUGCGCGGGGCCGGCGUUGACGUAGGCCUCGAGAACGGCGGUAUGGGCGACGACGUCGGGCAUGGCGCCCUUGUCCUUGAUGACAGCGAAGAGCGCGAGAGCCUCGUGGGUGAGCCCGUCCUUGGACAAUCCGUCGAACAUCUUGAUGGCGUAGUCGGUGAGGCCCUCGGUGCGCAUCCGGUGGAAGAUCUCCUGUAGGUUGGUGGGGUCCGACGGAUCGGCGAGGGUGGGCUUCUUGCUAAAGGGGUCGUAGGGGGGAGGCAGCUCGGAGAUCUUUGCCGUGGACGGCGGUAGAGGUGUCGUGUGGUUGUCGGCAUCGUCGUCGGACCAGUCGAAGGCGACGGGUGAAUUAGUAUUGGGGCUGCGGUGAGGUGAUGGGGAAGCGGUGGAGGAGAGGAGCCGGCUGGUAUUUGAUACGGAGGAGGGGAAGGACGGACGGAAUAGGCGGCGAGCGGCCGCGGCGGCGGUGGCCAUCGGGAGGGUGGAGGAGAGAGGGCCUAGAAGCAGUAUUGUGCUGUAGUGCUCUACCUUGUUUGUUCAAAGCAAGCCUUCUACUCACGGGUAGGAGGUAAUUGGUGAGUGCGAAAAAAUAUUGGAUGAAAGAGGUUUUUUAAAAGGCUUUUCUUGGUGCGUUCACUACUCGAAACGGGUCCUUCCUCUGGAGGACCGAAGAACCAAAAGAGAUGCCCCUUUCGGGGCGCAUUCCGAUUUCGCAAAAUUACAUUAUUUGUUUAGUGGGAAUGGGAGUUUUAGUAGGAUCAGGAAUGUAAGUUUAAAAGGCAACUUGUACCAAUAACUUUUUGAGGGAGGGGUGGGAAUUUAUUUUAAGGGCUUGUUUGGUUGGAGGUAAUUGAUGGGAGGGAAUAGGAGUUUAGAUGGAAGAUAUUAAAAUUCAAUUGUUUGUUCGGUGAGCACGGGAGAAUGGGAUAAAAAAUGGAAGUUCAGAGGGGCAACUCUCACUGAUCACUUCCUAGAGGGAGGGGUGGAAUUUGUUUUAAGUGGAAGAUAAAUGUAUCUGCACCGUUUAUCAUGAUUUAAGCUAUAAUUUCCCACCUCUAAACCCUCGUACCAGUCACUUAAAAAAAUAAAUAAGGUAAUGAUACUAAAAACUAUUUUUCCAAGUAAACUAAUUCUCAUUCCUCUUUCUGUACGCCUCUUUCUGUUAGUUAUCAUUGGUAGUUUAAAUCUGAUUUAUUAAUUGGUAGUUUAAAUCUGAUUUAUUAAUUGGUAGUUUAAAUCUGAUUUAUUAAUUGGUUGUUUAAAGGCCGUUUAAAGGUGUGUGGCGAUGCUGCUGAGGCGCUUGCCACAUGGAGGAGGCUCUUGCCGUUUAAACAAAGGAGACGCAUGAUUUGGUGGCCGGGGUCUGGGGUGCCGAUGUUCCGCUGGAACGAGUGGCGGUGGUGUAGUGUUGGAAAAAUGGCCGUAACAGUGCAUUGCAUUCAAUAGUCUGGUACUGCUAGUUUGAAUUGGUGCAAGCCAACUUAAAUAGGAAAGCACUCCCACUUCUUUGAAUACGUAACUGAAGGAGAGAAUAUGACUUGGGUUACACAACGUGCACGUAUUCACGCUCUCUUCACAUAACCAACCACGUGACUUGUAAAUUGUGACUUGUGACGCAGCGUGCAACUAAAGGGCCGGAAAGGCGAUCAGAGGGGGGUGAAUGGGAGCCGAUUCAAAUUUUCUCCAAGAACUUCAGCUAAAAACCCACAAACCUCUCUUCUAGCAUAAUCAAGUCCACUUAGCUAUGCACAAGCUAAUGGACCUAGGAAUGAUGCUAGGAACCCAAUUUGAGAAUAGCGGAAGCAAGAAAGACUUCAAACAAGCUCCGAAAGACAAACUUUGAAAACCAACACCUCUGUGCGGAAAAUUCCGGAAGAACCUUCGGAAAAUUCCGGACGUGCGGAAAUUUCUGGAGAAACCUUCGGAAAUUUUCGGAGGUCCAGAGAUUUCCGGAAUUAUGUCCGGAGAUUUUCGGAAUUCCAAAACAGCCUGCGUGAAGGUGGAAGAAAAAAUCCGAAACUCAAUCAAACGACCUCCAAAUAUCACGAAAUUUUAACCAUAGCUUUCCAAAAACAUAACAAACAUAUUUCCAAAAGAUCUCCUCAAAAAGAUUAGUCAAACAAAGGUAAUAAAAUAUUUUGUUAAGAACGGCAGUUUUUCAACCUUAGAACUUUAAUCGCCCCGAUCUAUGAACUCGUGAGGAAUUAGAUGAAUUUCUUUAGUGGAAAGCCUUCACUCACGUCCUAGUUCAUAUCCAAAUAACCGGUUUGAUCCAAGACUCCCCAGAAAUCACGAAUCAAACAAAAACGUGAGAAGGGAAAAACGGGAGAAAUGAGAAUGCGAAGAACACGAUUGAGAUUUCCACAAAUUGUCAUCCCCCAACACGUGGACACGAGGAGGUUAAGGCCUCCAUUCCCACAAGAAAAUCUUCGGUUCAAUACACGGAUACAAGUUCAAAUCAUCCGCGGACCUCUAGAGAUUGACUAGAGAGGGGGGGAAAACCAAAUGAAAACUAGAGAGAGAGGUGGAUGGAUGAGACGGGUGGAGAGGUGCUAAGAACUUCAGCCCCCAUCUCUAUCUAUAGGCACAGACAAAAGACUAAACUACCCCUAAUAGCUACUACUAAGAUAACUACCCACGCAGGGGUAUUUUUGUCCAAGUUUUUGUUCAUCCAUCGGACGGACACGCUGCCUUCACGACUUCGCUUCGCCUCGAUGCAAGCUUCGCGAUGACGCCACGUGCCCUCCUUCUCAAAGCUUCGGCCGCAUCGGGCUCGCCCCCGGUUUUGAGGCUCAAACUAGGAAACCUGCCAGCGUGGUGAUUUUGAGGCCCAAACCACCCAAACCGUCCAUCUUUGCUUGGCCGCCAUGCGACCUCCUCGAUGUCAACGCGUGUCCAGUCUUCGCCAAGCCUUUGACGCCUCCAAGUCGUUCGUUCCCGGCUCCCGGGCCGCCUAUUUGACUUGCCUCCGUCCCGCUUGACUCGACCGACGCCAUCUCCAUCACCGUCAUGUUGUCUUGCCGUUUCGUGCACCAUGUGGACCGCCCAUGACUCCGCCUGGACUCCUCAGGUCCAUCGGUCCAAGCCUAUUCGCGUUCAUCCUUUACCGCCCUUGGUCCAUUGGCAUGAACCUUUCGCUCAACCUUCACCGUAUGCCGUCGGCCAUCACAUCACAUCCUACACCUGCACAUCACAAGCCAAGAGCAACAUCAAUCCAACACAAUGUUGUCAAUCACUUAUCAUCCAAGGGUGACCACCAUUGGUCCUCAAUCUCCCCCUUGAUGAGUGCAUUGACAACACUCAACACAAAUUCAUAGCUUGAUAAAAAGAAAAAGAAAAGACAAACUCGAAAACAAAGAAAAAUCGCAGUCCCCUAAGAAAAGGGCAACGGCUCUACACGACUGAGACAAAAUCAUGUGAUCCCUCAAGAAGAGGCAAAAAACAGGCUCAACACCAAUCACAUGAAAGUCCAAAUCCAGCUCCUCAAGAAGAGGUAAAACAGCUCAACACGAUCGGAAAACGAGCAUAAGAGCAUAUAAAGCUUAUAAGAACUCGACUCAGGACUCCCCCUGAACAAAUGCAUGAGAAACAAAAUGCAUGAGAAACUUCCCCUUGUCAAAUCAAAACAUGCAGAAACUCUCCCCCUUGACAAAUGAAAGAGUUUGUGUGCAAUCACUCCCCCUUGUUGGCAAUGCAAGCAUCAAUACAAAGCAUGGCAGCCGAAAAGCAUGCCAUGAAAAUGCAGAAACUAUCAAGCUUCUCAGAUAUACCAUGAAAUACUCUCAAAGGCUACAAAAGAGAUAAGCUUAGGGGAUUACAAGAUGCAAUAGCAUCGCCAGCAAGAUGAAUUCAUGUUACAGAAAGGAUGUGAAGUAGUUUUUUGCAAUUGUGAAAAAGAUCACCACAUGAGCAAACGCCUAGUUAAGAAUCACCCUAGCAAGAAUAACUAGGCCAUCAACAGCUCAUACAAGGAACAAACAUUCUUGACAAAAGAUCAGUGCAGACACCCACAACACAUCUCUUGUCAUGUGAAGCUCGUUGAAACCAAGUGCCUACUUUUUUUUGGUACACAUCUUGUAACAACUAAGCAAGCUAGAAUAUGAACAAUUUAGCAUAAAAACAUGAUGAAUGAUUUGAAUUUAUCUUUGCAGCAUGUUUCUUUUCAUCAUUCAAACAAGGCAAAGUACAUGAAGUGCCUUUGCGGCACAAAUAAGCCAUGCUUCCCCAAGGGGUGCAUCAUGGGCUAAACAUCUACAAUGAUAUCUAGAUUUUUGACCCGAUUGACAAGAACAUGCAUUCCAAACAUAAGCCAAAUAUGGAACUAGGAUUCAAACAAGGGCAAAGUAUAACUAAGCAUCAACUCAUGGUGAUAUAGCAUUAGAUUUCAGAAAAACAAUUAUGUCAACAUGUAAACAUGAUCAUCAAGAGCAUAACUGCACAUUGCAUCAAAGUAACCAACCAAAGUACUAUCUCACAAGUAGCAUAAGAUAGUACACAGGGCAUAUAAGAGAAGCUCAUCUAAUGCAAUAUGGUACAAAUGCAAUAUGAUAAAAAUGCAUUAUGAUACAAAUGCAAGCCAAGCUAGCAUACUACAAAGAUGCUAAACAAGCAAGAGGCUAUACAGAUAUAAUACAACAGAAGCACCAAAUCCAACUCAGAAAGGAAAGAAAAUACCCAACUCCCCCUGCAAACGAGCAAAAGUGGCUUGAUCCAGGGGUUUGGUGAAGAUAUCAGCGAGCUGGUUUUAGGUAGCAACAUAGCCAAGGUCAAUGUCUCCUUUCUCAACAUGAUCUCUCAGAAAGUGAUAUCUCACAUCAAUGUGUUUGGUUUUUGAGUGGAGAACAGGGUUCUUGGCUACACUAAUGGCACUCAUGCUGUCACAAAGAAGGGGUACACGAGUAAAAUCCAAACCAAAGUCUCUCAAAGUGGAAAUCAUCCAAAGCAGCUGAGAACAACAACUAGCAGCAGCAACAUACUCGGCUUCGGUGGUAGACUGAGCAACACUAGAUUGUUUGCGGGAAGACCAAGAGACCAAAGAUGAACCAAGAAACUGGCAAGUUCCAGAGGUGGACUUGCGAUCCAAAUGACACCCAGUAAUAUCCGCAUCGAAGUAUCCGCGGAGAGUGAGUGUCAAGGAGGCAGAAUACCACAAACCGAAUUCAGGGGUAAAGCGUAAAUACCUCAUGAUCCUCUUAACCGCUUGGCGGUGAGAGGUUCUCGAUGAAGCCUGAAAUCGGGCGCACAAACACACUGCAAAGUGAAUGUCUGGCCUUGUCGCCGUCAAAUAGAGGAGGGAGCCGAUCAUGCUCCGGUACUCCUUCUGGUCCACCAGUUCGCCGUCUGCAUCCGCAUCAAGUGCCGUUGUCGUUGCCAUGGGUGUGGAUAGUGGCUUAGCAUUAGCCAUGUCAAACUUCCUCAACACGUCCUUCGUGUACUUCCCUUGGUGCACGAAAGUCCCUUCCUUGCUUUGCUUGAUUUGUAGCCCGAGGAAAAAGGUUAGUUCACCCAUCAUUGACAUCUCGAACUCCCUGCUCAUGUCAUCUGCAAACUUGGCAACCAAAGCAUGAGAGGAACCACCAAAGAUAAUAUCAUCCACGUAAAUCUGAACAAUCAUUAGGUCUUUGCCUUGCCUGAGGAGAAAGAGAGUUUUAUCAACUGACCCCAUUUCAAACCCAUUCCCAAGCAAAAAGGAUUUUAACCUAGCAUACCACGCUCGGGGUGCUUGUUUUAGGCCAUAGAGAGCUUUCUGGAGUUUGAACACACGGUCAGGAUACUUAAGAAUCUCAAAACCAGGGGGUUGUCUCACAUACAUUUCAUCAUCUAUGAAACCAUUUAGGAAGAUACUUUUCACAUCCAUUUGGAAGAGCUUAAAACCUUUAGCCAUAGAAAAGGCUAGAAGGAUUCUAAUCACUUCCAAACAGGCAGCAGGGGCAAAGGUUUCCUCAUAGUCUAUACCCUCUUUUUGACUGAAACCUUGGGCAACCAACCUCACUUUGUUUCUCAUAACCAACCUAUUUUCACCCUGUUUGUUUUUGAAAACCCAUUUUGUUCUUAUAGGGUGGCAAUUUGGAGGUGGUUCAACUAAAACUCAAACCCUGUUUCUCUCAAAGUUUUCUAACUCCUCAUGCAUAGCAUUGACCGAGUUUGAAUCAGAUAAAGCAUGUCCAAUAUCUCGGAGUUCAAAAGAGGCAACAAAAGCAGAAUGUGCAAAGUGUGAAAUCUACCUAGUGGUGUGCUCAUGCAAGUUACCGAUCAUCUGUUGUGGAUGAUGGUUACGCUGAAUGUGUCGUGGAGCUCCUCGCUCUGAAGUAGCCUCCCCCUCAACAGUAGCUUGUUCACUCUGAUCUUCUUCUUCAUCAUCUUGUAGUGGUACUUGGUGAUGGCUUGAAGUAGUGGAAGUAGGGGGUAGGGCCAUCAACUCUAGUAGUCGAAGUAGAAGGUUUAGGAGCAGCAGCUGGAGCACGGUUCACUUCAUCAUCUUCUUCAUCACCACUAUCAACACGCUUGUUCUCUUCUUCAAAAAUGCUUUGUCCCAUUUCAUAUUCACCUACAGCUUCAAAGACAGAGUUGUGCAAGGCAUAGUUUCAUCGAAAGUAAUCUCACAAGUUUCCACAAUCCGGUUAGUUUCAAGAUUAAGUACAUGAUAAGCAUGACUAUGAGAUGCAUAACCAAGAAAAAUACCAUCAGUGGACCGAGACUCAAAUUUGUCCAAAUUGCCUUGCUUGAGAAUAAAGCACUUGCAUCCAAACACUCUCAGAUGACUUACCUUGGGGGAACAUCGAUGCAUCAACUCAUAAGAGGUUUUAUUCAUAAAAGCUCGCAAGAAGAUUCGAUUGGAAACAUAGUAAGCAGUGUUAACAGCUUCGACCCAAUAUUUCCUAGGAGUCCUAUGCUCAUCAAGCAUCGUCCUAGCCAUCUCACAAAGGGUCCGAUUCUUCUGUUCAACAACACCAUUCUGAGGAGGGACAUAAGGCGAUAGAAACUAGUGUUCAAGACCAAGAUCAUUGCAAAAGGCUUUAAAAUGAGCGUUCUUGAAUUCUGUGCCAUUGUCACUGCGGAUAGCUCUCAUAGCAUCUUUAGGUCACUCCUUUUUCAACCUCAAGAUCAAAUCUCGGACAAAAGGAAAUGCCUCCUCCUUAGACUCCAUGAAGAAAACCCAUGAAUACCUGGAGAAAUCAUCAACGACCACAAGCACAUACCACUUCCCACCAACUGAGCAAACACGAGUUAGACCAACAGUGUCCAUAUGUAAUAGCUCACACGGAUGCUCAGUCAUCACCUGAUUCACAGGUGGAUGGGAAGCAGCAACCAUUUUCCCAUGUCGAUAGGGAGCGCAAACAAGAUCCUUCUCAAAUUUCAACUUGGGCAAACCAUGAAUAAGAUCUAAAGCACUCAACCUGGAAAUCAAGUCAAAGCUCAAAUGGCCCAAUCUUCUAUGCCAUUUACAAAGUUCAGAAGAUGAACCAGCAACAAGACAUCGAGAGAGGCCAAAUGAUUUGGAAAAAUCAACUCGAAACACUUGACCCUUGGGAAUGAUCACACACACAAGAUCAACCUGAGAGUCCAAGAUCUUUAAAGACCCAUGCUUGAAACGAACCUCAAAGCCAUCGUCAAGGAGCUGAGAAACCGAAAGCAAGUUGAAGCCAAGAGAAUCCACAAGGGCAACUCGCUUAAGCAUGAAGUUCUCACUCACCUUGAUGGCAACUUCAGACAUUACCUUCCUUUGCUAUUAUCCCCGAAAGUGAUGUACUCCCUGGUCAUCACCGGGGUGAGACUAGAGAACCAUCUGUGAUCACUGGUCAUGUGUCGAGAGCAACCGGAAUCAAUGAGCCACAUGUUCUCCAGGCCUCCGACCUGCUCAAACAAAGAGAGACCAAGGCUGAGCAAAUGUUUCAACACUGGGGUUAGAAGGAAAACAAGUUGAAAACCAGUGUCGAACCAUUUGCUCAAGAGUGGGAUUAGCAAAAUCAACCAUCUUUCGUCUCACAGGAGGACUACGACCAACGCUAGGGGGAAAACGUGGUCCGUUGUAGCUCCGAGACUCAAAGCAAGGACUAUGCUGUCCUGGACCAUAUUGAUCAUGGCGAGGAGCAUGCCUGGCAAAACCACAAGAGAGAGGUGAACGCACACGAUCCAUACGACGAGGUGGAGGAGCUGCUCUAGGCGCAUGUACACCAUGAGAGGGGUGGUACAUGUCCUGGUUGCCCCACGCACGCUCAUGCCUCAAAGCUUUCUUCUUGUGAAAGCAAAACUCCUCAAGGUGACCUGAGUUCUUGCAAAACUCACAAUGAAAGCGAACUGGUUGUUUUGGCUGUGGAUUUGCAUUGGGCUGAGGGUUUGCUUUGGGUUGUAGUUUCGCUUUGGGUUUUGGAAGUGGACGCUUAGGAGCAAUUUCUGGAAGUGUGUCAAGUUUGCUCCUGAGAUGGUUUGGCUUUUCUACCCAAAUAGCUUUCUUGGGUACUUUAGGUGGUGUCUCAAUGAAAACUCCAUCUCUCACACACUCAGACAAGUUUUGCUCACAAACUGGAAUGGGUUGCUCUCUAUUUUUAGUAGGUGACUCUCGAGGGGUGUAGUCAGCUGGUGGCUCACACUGGUUAUAGCUUGGUUUCUUUCUCUCACCACUAUUUUGACCCACCAUUUCACACAACCCAUCAAAGAACUUGUGCCCAUUAAAAUGACAACCCUUCAUAAUGGACCCAAGCCCAAAACCAUCAACCCUUUUGAACUCCUGAAUCAUCAUGCCUAGCUGAGGUUCCCUACUUGACACCCAACUAAGAACCGUGUGCAAGUCAGAGUUUUCACCCUCAGCUGCAAACUAAGCUUGAGUUCAGGAGAAUCAGUGCAUUCAGGAAGUUUAGAUAUAGGAACUAACUCAGACUUGUCUAAAGCACUAAACUUAACAUAGGCAUCAUCCAACUGAACUUGCAAAUCGGGGCAAGACUUACAUGCACCAAGGAAAACAAGCCUAGUCUUGACCUCAUCUAAAGCAGCCCCAGUCAAAUCCAAUUCAUCUACUAGCAAAGCAUGCUUAGAUUGUAAAGAUGCAAGACUAUCCAUAUGAACAACACAUUCAUUAGACCCCAGAACAUGUUUGGGAGUGUUUUUGAGCAUUCGGUUUCCGCACGAAAAACAAUGCAAAACGGGUGCAUUUCGGCACCUGAAUGCACUAUUUCCGGGGUAGCGAAUGUCGGGUGGAUUUUUUCGCAACGAACGCAUCCAAUCUUCCUAAUUAUACCCUAGAACAUGUUUGGGAGUGUUUUCGAGCAUUCGGUUAUGGCACGAAAAAUGAUGCAAAACGGGUGCAUUUCGGCACCCGAAUGCACUAGUUCCGGGUAACGAAACUCGGGUGGAUUUUUUCGCAAAGGACGCAUCCAAUCUACCUCAUUAGACCCUAGAACAUGUUUAGGAGUUUUUUCGAGCUUUCGGUUUCCGCACGAAAAGUGAUGCAAAACGGGUGCAUUUCGGCACCCGAAUGCACUAUUUCCGAGUAGCGAAACUCGGAUGGAUUUUUUCGCAACGGACACAUCCAAUCUACCACAUUAGACCCUAGAAUAUGUUUGGGAGUGUUUUCGAGCAUUCGGUUUCCGCCCGAAAACCGAUGCAAAACGAGUGCAUUUCGACACCCGAAUGCACUAUUUCCGAGUAGCGAAACUCGGAUGGAUAUUUUCGCAACGGACGCAUCCAAUCUACCACAUUAGACCCUAGAACAUGUUUAGGAGUGUUUUCGAGCAUUCAGUUUCCGCACGAAAACCGAUGCAAAAUGGGUGCAUUUCGGCACCCGAAGGCACUAUUUCCGGGUAGCGAAACUCGGGUGGAUUUUUUCGCAACGGACGCAUCCAAUCGACCACAUUAGACCCUAGAACAAGUUUGGGAGUAUGUUCAAGCAUGUGGUGACCGCACGAAAAGCGAUGCAAAACGGGUGCAUUUCGGCACUCGAAUGCACUAUUUCUGGGUGGCGAAACUCGGGUGGAUUUUUUCGCAACGGACGCAUCCAAUCUACCUUAUUAGACCCUAGAACAUGUUUACCAGUGUUUUCGAGCUUCCGGUUUCCGCACGAAAAGCGAUGCAAAACGGGUGCAUUUCGGCACCCUAAUACACUAUUUCCGAGUAGCGAAACUCGGAUGGAUUUUUUCGCAACGCACGCAUCCAAUCUACCACAUUAGACCCUAAAACAUGUUUGGGAGUGUUUUUGAGCAAUCGGUUUCCGCACGAAAACCGAUGCAAAAUGGGUGCAUUUCGGCACCCGAAUGCACUAUUUCCGAGUAGCGAAACUCAGCUGAAUUUUUUCGCAACGGACGCAUCUAAUUGACCACAUUAGACCCUAGAAUAUGUUUGGGAGUGUUUUUGAGCAUUCGGUUUCCGCGCGAAAACCGAUGUAAAACGGGUGCAUUUCGGCACCCGAAUGCACUAUUAUCGGGUGGUGAAACUCGGGUGGAUUUUUUCGCAACGGACGCAUCCAAUCUACCUCAUUAGACCCUAGAACAUGUCUGGGAGUGUUUUCGAGCAUUCGGUUUCCGCACGAAAAGCCAGCAAAACGGGUGCAUUUCGGCACUUGAAUGCACUAUUUCCGGGUAGCGAAACUCGGGUGGAUUUUUUCGCAAUGGACGCAUCCAAUCUAUUAAUUAGACCCUAGAACAUGUUUGGGAGUGUUUUUGAGCAUUCGCUUACGGCACGAAAAAUGAUGCAAAACGGGUGCAUUUCGGCACCUAAAUGCACUAUUUCCGGGUAGCGAAUGUCGGGUGGAUUUUUUCGCAACGAACGUAUCCAAUCUUCCUAAUUAGAACAUGUUUGGGAGUGUUUUCGAGCAUUCGGUUUCCGCAUGAAAACCGAUUCAAAACGAGUGCAUUUCGGCACCCGAAUGCACCAUUUCCGUGUAGCGAAACUCGGAUGGAUUUUUUCGCAACGGACGCAUCCAAUCUACCUCAUUAGACCCUAGAACAUGUUUAGGAGUUUUUUCGAGCUUUCGGUUUCCGCACGAAAAGUGAUGCAAAACGGGUGCAUUUCGGCACCCGAAUGCACUAUUUCCGAGUAGCGAAACUCGGAUGGAUUUUUUCGCAACGGACACAUCCAAUCUACCACAUUAGACCCUAGAAUAUGUUUGGGAGUGUUUUCGAGCAUUCGGUUUCCGCCCGAAAACCGAUGCAAAACGAGUGCAUUUCGACACCCGAAUGCACUAUUUCCGAGUAGCGAAACUCGGAUGGAUAUUUUCGCAACGGACGCAUCCAAUCUACCACAUUAGACCCUAGAACAUGUUUAGGAGUGUUUUCGAGCAUUCAGUUUCCGCACGAAAACCGAUGCAAAAUGGGUGCAUUUCGGCACCUGAAGGCACUAUUUCCGGGUAGCGAAACUCGGGUGGAUUUUUUCGCAACGGACGCAUCCAAUCGACCACAUUAGACCCUAGAACAAGUUUGGGAGUAUGUUCAAGCAUGUGGUGACCGCACGAAAAGCGAUGCAAAACGGGUGCAUUUCGGCACUCGAAUGCACUAUUUCUGGGUGGCGAAACUCGGGUGGAUUUUUUCGCAACGGACGCAUCCAAUCUACCUUAUUAGACCCUAGAACAUGUUUACCAGUGUUUUCGAGCUUCCGGUUUCCGCACGAAAAGCGAUGCAAAACGGGUGCAUUUCGGCACCCUAAUACACUAUUUCCGAGUAGCGAAACUCGGAUGGAUUUUUUCGCAACGCACGCAUCCAAUCUACCACAUUAGACCCUAAAACAUGUUUGGGAGUGUUUUCGAGCAAUCGGUUUCCGCACGAAAACCGAUGCAAAAUGGGUGCAUUUCGGCACCCGAAUGCACUAUUUCCGAGUAGCGAAACUCAGCUGAAUUUUUUCGCAACGGACGCAUCUAAUUGACCACAUUAGACCCUAGAAUAUGUUUGGGAGUGUUUUUGAGCAUUCGGUUUCCGCGCGAAAACCGAUGUAAAACGGGUGCAUUUCGGCACCCGAAUGCACUAUUAUCGGGUGGUGAAACUCGGGUGGAUUUUUUCGCAACGGACGCAUCCAAUCUACCUCAUUAGACCCUAGAACAUGUCUGGGAGUGUUUUCGAGCAUUCGGUUUCCGCACGAAAAGCCAGCAAAACGGGUGCAUUUCGGCACUUGAAUGCACUAUUUCCGGGUAGCGAAACUCGGGUGGAUUUUUUCGCAAUGGACGCAUCCAAUCUAUUAAUUAGACCCUAGAACAUGUUUGGGAGUGUUUUUGAGCAUUCGCUUACGGCACGAAAAAUGAUGCAAAACGGGUGCAUUUCGGCACCUAAAUGCACUAUUUCCGGGUAGCGAAUGUCGGGUGGAUUUUUUCGCAACGAACGUAUCCAAUCUUCCUAAUUAGAACAUGUUUGGGAGUGUUUUCGAGCAUUCGGUUUCCGCAUGAAAACCGAUUCAAAACGAGUGCAUUUCGGCACCCGAAUGCACCAUUUCCGUGUAGCGAAACUCGGAUGGAUUUUUUCGCAACGGACGCAUCCAAUCUACCACAUUAGACCCUACAACAUGUUUAGGAGUGUUUUCGAGCAUUCGGUUUUCGCACGAAAACCGAUGCAAAAUGGAUGCAUUUCGGCACCUGAAUGCACUAUUUCAGGGUAGCGAAACUUGGGUGGAUUUUUUCGCAACGGACGCAUCCAAUCGACCACAUUAGACCCUAGAACAUGUUUGGGAGUGUGUUCAAGCAUGUGGUGACCGCACAAAAAGCGAUGCAAAACGGGUGCAUUUCGGCACUCGAAUGCACUAUUUCCAGGUGCAAAACUCGGGUGGAUUUUUUCGCAACGGACGCGUCCAAUCUACCUCGUUAGACCCUAGAACAUGUUUGGGAGUGUUUUCGAGCUUUUGGUUUCCGCACGAAAAGCGAUGCAAAACGGGUGUAUUUCGGCACCCGAAUGCACUAUUUCCAUGUAGCGAAACUCGGAUGAAUUUUUUCGCAACGGACACAUCCAAUCUACCACAUUAGACCCUAGAAUAUGUUUGGGAGUGUUUUUGAGCAUUCGGUUUCCGCGCGAAAACCGAUGCAAAACGGGUGCAUUUCGGCACCCGAAUGCACUAUUUCCGGAUAGCAAACUCGGGUGGAUUUUUUCGCAACGGACUCAUCCAAUCGACCACAUUAGACCCUAGAACAUGUUUUGGAGUGUUUUCAAGCAUGUGGUGACCACACGAAAAGCGAUGCAAAUUGGGUGCAUUUCGCCACCUGAAUGCACUAUUUCCGAGUAGCAAAACUCGGGUGUAUUUUUUCACAACGAACGCGUCCAAUCUACCUCAUUAGAUCCUAGAACAUGUUCGGAAGUGUUUUCGAGCAUUCAGUUUCCGCACGAAAAAUGAUGCAAAAUGGGUGCAUUUCGGCACCCGAAUGCACUAUUUCCAGGUGGCGAAACUCGGGUGGAUUUUUUCGCAACGGACGCAUCCACUCUACCUCAUUAGACUCUAGAACAUGUUUCGGAGUGUUUUCGAGCUUUCAGUUUCUACAUGAAAAGCGAUGCAAAAUGGGUGCAUUUCGGCACCCGAAUGCACUAUUAUCGGGUGGUCAAACUCGGGUGGAUUUUUUCGCAACGGACGCAUCCAAUCUACCUCAUUAGACCCUAGAACAUGUCUGGGAGUGUUUUCGAGCAUUCGGUUUCCGCACGAAAAGCCAGCAAAACGGGUGCAUUUCGGCACUUGAAUGCACUAUUUCCGGGUAGCAAAACUCGGGUGGAUUUUUUCGCAAUGGACGCAUCCAAUCUAUUAAUUAGACCCUAGAACAUGUUUGGGAGUGUUUUUGAGCAUUCGCUUACGGCACAAAAAAUGAUGCAAAACGGGUGCAUUUCGGCACCUAAAUGCACUAUUUCCGGGUAGCGAAUGUCGGGUGGAUUUUUUCGCAAUGAACGUAUCCAAUCUUCCUAAUUAUACCCUAGAACAUGUUUGGGAGUGUUUUCGAGCAUUCGGUUUCCGCACGAAAACCGAUUCAAAACGAGUGCAUUUCGGCACCCGAAUGCACUAUUUCCGUGUAGCGAAACUCGGAUGGAUUUUUUCGCAACGGACGCAUCCAAUCUACCACAUUAGACCCUACAACAUGUUUAGGAGUGUUUUCGAGCAUUCGGUUUUCGCACGAAAACCGAUGCAAAAUGGGUGCAUUUCGGCACCUGAAUGCACUAUUUCAGGGUAGCGAAACUUGGGUGGAUUUUUUUUGCAACGGACGCAUCCAAUCGACCACAUUAGACCCUAGAACAUGUUUGGGAGUGUGUUCAAGCAUGUGGUGACCGCACAAAAAGCGAUGCAAAACGGGUGCAUUUCGGCACUCGAAUGCACUAUUUCCAGGUGCAAAACUCGGGUGGAUUUUUUCGCAACGGACGCGUCCAAUCUACCUCGUUAGACCCUAGAACAUGUUUGGGAGUGUUUUCGAGCUUUUGGUUUCCGCACGAAAAGCGAUGCAAAAUGGGUGCAUUUCGGCACCCGAAUGCACUAUUUCCGUGUAGCGAAACUCGGAUGAAUUUUUUCGCAACGGACACAUCCAAUCUACCACAUUAGACCCUAGAAUAUGUUUGGGAGUGUUUUUGAGCAUUCGGUUUCCGCGCGAAAACCGAUGCAAAACGGGUGCAUUUCGGCACCCGAAUGCACUAUUUCCGGGUAGCAAACUCGGGUGGAUUUUUUCGCAACGGACUCAUCCAAUCGACCACAUUAGACCGUAGAACAUGUUUCGGAGUGUUUUCAAGCAUGUGGUGACCACACGAAAAGCGAUGCAAAAUGGGUGCAUUUCGCCACCUGAAUGCACUAUUUCCGAGUAGCAAAACUCGGGUGUAUUUUUUCACAACGAACGCGUCCAAUCUACCUCAUUAGACCCUAGAACAUGUUUGGGAGUGUUUUCGAACAUUCGGUUUCCGCACGAAAAGCCAGCAAAACGGGUGCAUUUCGGCACUUGAAUGCACUAUUUUCGGGUAGCGAAACUCGGGUGGAUUUUUUCGCAAUGGACGCAUCCAAUCUGUUAAUUAGACCCUAGAACAUGUUUGGGAGUGUUUUUGAGCAUUCGCUUACGGCACGAAAAAUGAUGCAAAACGGGUGCAUUUCGGCACCGAAAUGCACUAUUUCCGCGUAGCGAAUGUCGGGUGGAUUUUUUUGCAACGAACGCAUCCAAUCUUCCUAAUUAUACCCUAGAACAUGUUUGGGAGUGUUUUUGAGCAUUCGGUUACGGCACGAAAAACGAUGCAAAACGGGUGCAUUUCGGCACCCGAAUGCACUAGUUCCGGGUAGCGAAACUCGGGUGGAUUUUUUCGCAACGGACGCAUCCAAUCUACCUCAUUAGACCCUAGAACAUGUUUAGGAGUUUUUUCGAGCUUUCGGUUUCCGCACGAAAAGCGAUGCAAAACGGGUGCAUUUCGGCACCCGAAUGCACUAUUUCCGAGUAGCGAAACUCGGAUGGAUUUUUUCGCAACGGACACAUCCAAUCAACCACAUUAGACCCUAGAAGAUGUUUGGGAGUGUUUUCGAGCAUUCGGUUUCCGCAUGAAAACCGAUGCAAAACGAGUGCAUUUCGGCACCCGAAUGCACUAUUUCCGAGUAGCGAAACCCGGAUGGAUUUUUUUCGCAACGGACGCAUCCAAUCUACCACAUUAGACCCAACAACAUGUUUAGAAGUGUUUUCAAGCAUUCGGUUUCCACACGAAAACCGAAGCAAAAUGGGUGCAUUUCGGCACCCGAAUGCACUAUUUCCGGGUAGCGAAACUCGGGUGGUUUUUUUCGCAACGGACGCAUCCAAUCGACCACAUUAGACCCUAAAACAUGUUUGGGAGUGUGUUCAAGCAUGUGGUGACCGCACGAAAAGCAAUGCAAAGCUGGUGCAUUUCGGCACUCGAAUGCACUAUUUCUAGGUGGUGAAACUCGGGUGGAUUUUUUCGCAACGGACGCAUCCAAUCUACCUCAUUAGACCCAAGAACAUGUUUGGGAGUGUUUUCGAGCUUUCGGUUUCCGCACGAAAAGCGAUGCAAAACGGGUGCAUUUCGGCACCCGAAUGCCCUAUUUCCGUGUAGCAAAACUCGGAUGGAUUUUGUCGCAACGGACACAUCCAAUCUACCACAUUAAACCCUAGAAUAUGUUUGGGAGUGUUUUGGAGCAUUCGGUUUCCGCACGAAAACCGAUGCAAAACGGGUCCAUUUCGGCACCCGAAUGCACUAUUUCCGGGGUAGCGAAACUCGAGUGGAUUUUUUCGCAAUGGACGCAUCCAAUCGACCACAUUAGACCCUAGAACAUGUUUGGGAGUGUUUUCAAGCAUGUGGUGACCGCAUGAAAAGCAAUGCAAAACGGGUGCAUUUCGCCACCUGAAUGCACUAUUUCCGAUUAGCAAAACUCGGGUGUAUUUUUUCACAACGAACGCGUCUAAUCUACCUCAUUAGAUCCUAGAACGUGUUCGGGAGUGUUUUCGAGCAUUCAGUUUCCGCACGAAAAAUGAUGCAAAAUGGGUGCAUUUCGGCACCCGAAUGCACUAUUUCCGGGUGGCGAAACUCGGGUGGAUUUUUUCGCAACGGACGCAUCCACUCUACCUCAUUAGACCCUAGAACAUGUUUGGGAGUGUUUUCGAGCUUUCGGUUUCUACAUGAAAAGCGAUGCAAAAUGGGUGCAUUUCAGCACCCGAAUGCACUAUUAUCGGGUGGUGAAACUCGGGUGGAUUUUCUCGCAACAGACGCAUCCAAUCGACCACAUUAGACCCUAGAAUAUGUUUGGGAGUGUUUUCGAGCAUUCGAUUUCCGCACGAAAACCGAUGCAAAACAAGUGCAUUUCGGCACCCGAAUGCACUAUUUCCGAGUAGCGAAACUCAGAUGGAUUUUUUCGCAACGGACGCAUCCAAUCUACCACAUUAGACCCUACAACAUGUUUAGGAGUGUUUUCGAGCAUUCGGUUUCUGCAUGAAAACCAAUGAAAAAUGGGUGCAUUUCGGCACCCGAAUGCACUAUUUCCGGGUAGUGAAACUCGGGUGGAUUUUUUUGCAAUGGACACAUCCAAUCGACCACAUUAGACCCUAGAACAUGUUUGGGAGUGUGUUCAAGCUUGUGGUGACCGCACGAAAAGCGAUGCAAAACAGGUGCAUUUCGGCACUCAAAUGCACUACUUCUGGGUGGCGAAACUCGGGUGGAUUUUUUCACAACAGACGCAUCCAAUCUACCUCAUUAGACCCUAGAAUAUGUUUGGGAGUGUUUUCGAACUUUCGGUUUCCGCACGAAAAGCAAUGCAAAACGGGUGCAUUUCGGCACCCGAAUGCACUAUUCGUGGGUAGCGAAACUCGGGUGGAUUUUUUCGCAACGAACGCAUCCCAUCUUCCUAAUUAUACACUAGAACAUGUUUGGGAGUGUUUUUGGGCAUUCGGUUCCGGCACGAAAAACGAUGCAAAACGGGUGCAUUUCGGCACCCGAAUGCACUAUUGCCGGGUAGCGAAACUCGGGUGGAUUUUUUCGCAACGAACGCAUGCAAUCUUCCUAAAGAUGCACUAGAACAUGUUUGGGAGCGUUUUUGGGCAUUCGGUUCCUGCACGAAAAACGAUGAAAAACGGGUGCAUUUCGGCACCCGAAUGCACUAUUGCCGGGUAGCGAAACUCGGGUGGAUCUUUUCGCAACGAACGCAUGCAAUCUUCCUAAAUAUGCACUAGAACAUGUUUGGGAGUGUUUUUGGGCAUUCGGUUCCAGCACGAAAAACGAUGCAAAACGGGUGCAUUUCGGCACCCGAAUGCACUAUUGCCGGGUAGCGAAACUCGGGUGGAUGUUUUCGCAACGAACGCAUGCAAUCUUCCUAAAUAUGCACUAGAACAUGUUUGAGAGUGUUUUUGGGCAUUCGGUUCCGGCACGAAAAACGAUGCAAAAUGGGUGCAUUUCGGCACCCGAAAGCACUAUUGCCGGGUAGCGAAACUCGGGUGGAUUUUUUCGCAACGAACGCAUGCAAUCUUCCUAAAUAUGCACUAGAACAUGUUUGGGAGUGUUUUGGGGCAUUCGGUUCCGGCACGAAAAACGAUGCAAAACGGGUGCAUUUCGGCACCCAAAUGCACUAUUGCCGGGUAGCGAAACUCGGGUGGAUUUUUUCGCAACUAACGCAUGCAAUCUUCCUAAUUAGACCCUAGAACAUGUUUGGGAGUGUUUUUGAGCAUUCGGUUCUGGCACGAAAAACGAUGCAAAACGGGUGCAUUUCGGCACCCGAAUGCACUAUUGCCGGGUAGCGAAACUCGGGUGGAUUUUUUCGCAACGAACGCAUGCAAUCUUCCUAAUUAGACCCUAGAACAUGUUUGGGAGUGUUUUUGAGCAUUCGGUUCCGGCACGAAAAACGAUGCAAAACGGGUGCAUUUCGGCACCCGAAUGCACUAUUGCCGGGUAGCGAAACUCGGGUGGAUUUUUUCGCAACGAACGCAUGCAAUCUUCCUAAUUAGACCCUAGAACAUGUUUGGGAGUGUUUUUGAGCAUUCGGUUCCGGCACGAAAAACGAUGCAAAACGGGUGCAUUUCGGCACCCGAAUGCACUAUUGCCGGGUAGCGAAACUCGGGUGGAUUUUUUCGCAACGAACGCAUGCAAUCUUCCUAAAUAUGCACUAGAACAUGUUUGGGAGUGUUUUUGGGCAUUCGGUUCCGGCACGAAAAAUGAUGCAAAACGGGUGCAUUUCGGCACCCGAAUGCACUAUUGCCGGGGAGCGAAACUCGGGUGGAUUUUUUCGCAAUGAACGCAUGCAAUCUUCCUAAAUAUGCACUAGAACAUGUUUGGGAGUGUUUUUGGGCAUUCGGUUCCGGCACGAAAAACGAUGCAAAACGGGUGCAUUUCGGCACCCGAAUGCACUAUUGCCGGGUAGCGAAACUCGGGUGGAUUUUUUCGCAACGAACGCAUGCAAUCUUCCUAAAGAUGCACUAGAACAUGUUUGGGAGUGUUUUUGGGCAUUCGGUUCCGGCACGAAAAACGAUGAAAAACGGGUGCAUUUCGGCACCCGAAUGCACUAUUGCCGGGUAGCGAAACUCGGGUGGAUCUUUUCGCAACGAACGCAUGCAAUCUUCCUAAAUAUGCACUAGAACAUGUUUGGGAGUGUUUUUGGGCAUUCGGUUCCAGCACGAAAAACGAUGCAAAACGGGUGCAUUUCGGCACCCGAAUGCACUAUUGCCGGGUAGCGAAACUCGGGUGGAUUUUUUCGCAACGAACGCAUGCAAUCUUCCUAAAUAUGCACUAGAACAUGUUUGGGAGUGUUU
rnacentral:lncRNA from 1 species